GUACAUUGUUUUGGAGCAGGUCUUUUUGCUAGACUGUUUGAUGAAGAUCGUUGCACAGGGACUUAUUUUUGCGCCAGACGCAUACCUGAGUGACUGGUACAACAUCCUUGACUUGUUUAUUCUCGUCACCGAUGCGCUUAUUCUUCUGAAGUAUAACGCUGAGGAUGAAACUUCCAUACCAACCGUCGGUGCGUUUACUUCUCUUCGGCCAUUUCGUUUCGUGGUUCGGUUUACAGGACUGAGGUCAUUAUUAUCAAAUCUUUUUCGGACUAUUCCAGCAAUUGUGUCGGUUAUUCUCUUCACAUUUUCAAUUCUCUUGAUAUUUGGAACCAUCGGGCUGCAGCAGUUUCGGGGCCUUCUCUGGAAAUGCAAUGACCCGACAAUCACGCAUGUACCAGCCUCUAUGUUAAUGACAUCGGCAUCCUUCCUCCGCGAGCCUGGGUUAAUAACGUUUUCCAGUUCGACGACAUUCAGAAUGCCCUCCUCAAUAUGUUUGUCUGCUCCACUUUCGACAACUGGCUGACGCACUUCAUGUAUCCUGUCAUGGACAUCACUAGGGAAGACCACCAGCCUGUUCGGAACGCGAGUCCUGUCAACGCCUUGUUUUUCGUGGCACUCUGCUGUAUCGGGGGAUUUUAUAUCGUCAGAGUUUUCAUCGGGUGUUUAUCAACGAGUUUGGAAAAAUUUCUGGAGCAGUUCUUCUCACAGAGAGGCAGAAGCUGUGGAGGGACAUGAACCGUAUCAUCCAGAAAACUUAUUCUAUUCUGCUGGCCAGUCGGCAGUUGUUUCGGACCGGCGUCAGAUGACUCACUGUGCGAUUACAACAUAAUUCCUGCUCGAAUCCGUGAUGAAGUUCCUUGGCGACGAGGUACGUCAUUUAUCUUUUUCUCAAUUAUUUUUUGUUUGACCACCUGGUUUUUCCUUUCUCCAGUGGAAGGUCUAUAAGAACGAGGUUGCACGGCAGAUGGAGUUUGGACUCUCCAUAAUGGCCGCCUUGGUCUCAUGGGAAAGAAGGGAACGGUGAGGGGCUAUGUCAGCCGCACUGCCUACAUUGCUCGAGUUUUCUGCAUCAUUCUUCACGAGAGCACGGGUUAUUAUGCGAACAAUGUUCAUCUGUUUGGCAACUGUAGCUGAGAUACUCGCUCUUCUCGCAAUUUUCAUGUAUAUGUUCGCGGGAAUGGCGUUUCCAACUCUUCAGUGCAAUGAAGGAAGGGACCUGCAUUGGCCCGUCUGUCAACUUUCGCACUUUCGUCAACACUUUCAUCGCGGUGUUUCAGGUAAAGGCUUGUUUUUCUAUCACUUUCAGUUUCACUUUUCUUUUACAGGUUACAACUCUUGAUAACUGGUCUUGCGUUAUGAUGGAUACCACAAUUGAUGCACCCGCCUGCACCAACGGUAAAACACUACUCGGUGAUGAUUGUGGAGGGCGGCAUUAUCUCCUUCGCCUUCUUGGUCUUGGUCGGGAGUCGCAUAUUCAUGAACUUGUUCGUGGCUGUCAUACUGGAUGCUGUAACCUUCGGCCUUGUGAACAAGAACUCUAUGAUCAUGCCAGAGCACCUGUUAGCAUAUCGAAAUUGGUGGAGCCAAGAAUGAUUCGAUCCCAAGUAAGCCACUUACGUUCAAGUCCUUGUAGAACUAACUUUAUAAUCGUCCAGUGCUACAGGAUACAUUGGCAUGCACAAGCUGCGACGAUUUGUAAACGCCCUCGGUGACCCGCUGGGCCGGCGCUACAAGUCCGCGACCCAAUGGUUUGGCGUGUGUUUGCGGAGUCCUCCCAAUCUUGAUUUUUUCUUUGUUCUGCCCAGGUACAUGAGAAUAGAGUACGAGGCAAUGAGUUUUCGAGUUCCAAACAAAGGAAUCCCUUUCAAGGAGCUGCUGGAAACGCUGACGCUGUAUAAGAUCGGACCAACUGUAAGUAGCUGCUAUUCCAACCUUUUGAUACUUACGCUUGGCUCGGAUUAACACAGGGGUUGCCUCUCACUCUGCGCAUCGAGCGUGAGAAGCGGAUCCAGGCCGUGUACAUCCAGGGCGCUGCGACGAAAAUGCAGGCUCUCGUGAGAGGUUUCCUGGCGAGGAUAAGAGCUGGCAAAGGUGGUGCUGCUGUGAGCAAAACCGAGGUGGCAGCUCAGCAAGAAUUGGAAUCGACAAGGAGCAAACCCGAGGUGCUAGAGAUUGCCAGAGGCGAAGCUCUCCUGGUGGGAGAAUAGUGGUGCAGUCGCAGUUUUGUAACGAUUUAUCCUGAGAUUGGGGCGGUCCUCAAGCCAAGGUGGAAUUUUCAUGCCUUUCGGGCAGGAUAGCGAUUCCAGCCUGGCUCUUAUUGUGGGACCACAGUGCAUCGUUCUGUAUCACGCUUGGCCCCGAAAUGUCAAGAAAUUUCAAACCUGGCAGCGAUGCAAUGGACGAUGGAAUGAUAGUCUCAUCACAGCUCAAAUGCACGAUUUCUAUAUCAGUCAUUUGAUCUGAUGGCAGCGAUGCAAUGGACGAUGGAAUGAUAGUCUCAUCAAAAUGCACGAUUUUUAUAUCAGUCAUUUGAUCUGAUGGCAGCGAUGCAAUGGACGAUGGAAUGAUAGUCUCAUCAAAAUGCACGAUUUCUAUAUCAGUCAUUUGAUCUGAUGGCUCAAAGAAAUCAUUUUGCAUCUUCCUGCUGGAUACUGAAAGACGUUCAACCUUGAGUGAUGACCUCUCAGUUGGCAACAAAAGUCUCUUUAUACAACCCGUUAUUCGCAGAGACUCGAGGCGAUUGGGGAGCUGUGUCACAAAGAGAGGCAAGUGCUCCCAUUCAAUAUCAGGAGCUAGCUCAAACCCCAACUCCUUCAGAUUUGGAAGACUGGCAGCCAAAUCAUCCUUGAAUUCUGACUGUGCAAUCUGUAGAUUAGUAAGACUCAGAUCUCCAAGACGUGGGAAUGAUCCAUCCAGGUUGAAGAAGUGGAUACGAUUGCAGUUAAUAAAAAGUGUUUCUAGGCGGUGGAAUAACCAAGAUAAGUUUAUGAUAUCACGGAUGUCUAGAUAUCGUAGUUGCAACCAUUCGAAGCUGUCAUCACUAUUUUCACUGUCUUCUACCCCAACGAUGGAAAAAUGUUGAAGCUUGAUUGAUUUCAUAAACAUUCGUUUCCAAGCAGCUCUGCUGAGGGUUUCCACAUGAAUUUGACAUUUUGUUAGGUUGACAAGUUGCCAUAACCCAACGAAAGUGGCAAAGUCGAUGUUGUUUGCAUGUAAAACCAAUGUUUCAAUGUGCUCCAGUGUCCCCAUGCUUUCUGGCACCUUCAUUGUACCAUGUGUCAUUCUUAAAUGUCUUAGUUUACGCGAAAUUCCAGUCAAAUCCACAACUGAUGACUCCUCUUUUGAAUCAAGCCUCAGCUCCAGCUCUUCCAAGUUGGAGAGCUGGGGCAGUAAUGCAAUGUUACACUUCGUCGGCCUCCACCUUGUACAUUUUAGAAAUUUCAGUGAUGUCAGGCUGAAAAGCGCAUCUGGUAAUUGCCUCACAUUUGUUUCUCGAAUGUCCAGCAGUUGAAGGUUUUUCAGCUUGGAUAUGCUCUCUGGAAUAGAAUGGAUCUUAGAGCAUCGCCACAAGCUCAAUACCUUGACCCCUUGUAUGUGAUUGAUAAGACUGUCAUCCACAUUAGAAAGUUCUUUACAUUUAUCCAGAAGUAUGACAUCUCGCACAUGAUUAUCGGAUAGAAAGCUGCCAACAUUCUUUGAGAUGAAUGAGACUUUAGCAAAUGUUGCAUUCUGAAUGCCACUUGUCCAGUCAUAUCCAAACAGGCAUCCCUUCUCGUGCUCUUGCUGUGGACUGUACUUCCCUUUUAAGAUUCUUAUGCAUAGUUUGCGUAGCAUAUCGUGUACGAUUAUAAAAUCUGUUAUUGGGUGCUUACGUAUCUUGACCAGGCAUCUCCGUUCCAGUUCAUUGACAAUCGCUGUGGGUGAGAGUUCUGACCCAACCUCCAUCCAACAUUUCCUCAACUCAGUUAACCCAAUCGACCUAUCUUCUGGGAAUGCAGCCACAUAGAGAAAGCACUCCUGCAGCUUUUCAUCCUCAGCGUUUCCCAGCUCGUCAUAGCUGAACUUCAAGCGCUUGAACAUCUGCUUCUCAACGUCUGGGUCAUUGGACAAGUGCAACCUCUUAUAUCGUUCUUCCCACACUUGUGGCCCUUCACUUCUGUGGACAGCCAUGGCACUGCCAAUCACUUCCAGAGCGAGAGGAAGUCCCUCACAUUUCCGAGCUAUUUUCUCUGCAACUUCCACAACACCAGGUUGUGGAUCAUGCACACCGAAGGCAAACUUCCAAAACAUCUUUUUGCUUUCGUCCAUUGAUAGCUCAUGCACAGGAAAUGCCUUUGCAUCCGGAUGCAAAAUGCCUUCCUUUCUGGUUGUCACCAGGAUCCGGCCAGAGGAUGGCCCUGCUAUAAAAUCCAGUUCCUUUGCCCAGCUCCUGUCCCACACAUCAUCCAGUACCAGCAAGACACGGUUACCACCAGCAACAUCGCGUGCCAAGUGCUUCAUGUCGUCAAGGGUUCCUCUGGCCCUCUCUUUCAUUUCACCCCAUUCAAGAUCCACACAAUGUUGUCAUGGAAAUGCUCCCGCACCCUCCGGUCAUUGUGCGCGAGGCUUGCGACGGUGGUCUUUCCACACCCUCCCAUUCCAAAGAGUCCAACCCAUUUGCUAGGGGCUUCGGGAUCCAAGAGGGCAUUCACCACCUCAUUCAGCAGUUGCUCGUGGCCCCCAAACAUGGCCUCAGGAACAACGCGCGGUACAUAUUUUUUUGCAGGGCCUCUAUCUUGCGGGAAAUUCCGUACGGCGAAGCUAGUGCUCGGCUGUAUCACUUUCAACUCUUCUCGCUCGUACCUUUCAAGCUUCGGAAGGAGAUCGCCCUCGUAGCUGUGUAUCAGCUCUGAGAUCUCGUCACAACGCUUCUCCCUGUGAAACAUCCAUAGAUCUUUUAGCUGUACUGUAAGAGCUCUUGUGUAAACUUACUGUGGUCCCAGCAGUGCUUGCGCCUUGUCGUUCCAUUUUGUGACAAGAUCAAGCCACUCCUCGGCUCCAUCAGAGUAGCGGAACUCUGGAUUCCGGUGCUUGUGAGCAUUAAACUUGUUAAGCAUGGCCUGGAUGCUGGCCGCCGCCUUCUCCAGCAUCGCAAUGUCCACCUUCAGCUCGUGCCCGUGACUUUCCAUCUGCGACAGGAGAUCCUGGUAGGAGCUGAAGCACUCCAUGAUCUUGCCACUCCGCUUGUACCUAUAGGGAGAAAUAAAUUCAGCCUUGUUGCACAAAAAUGCUGCAAAACAUACCGUCUAACGGGGCUCCAGAUCCUGUUGUUGCGUGAUCUCAAGAGUUCUUGCGCCUUGCUAUUCCAUUUCUUGACACGCUCCAAGCAUUCCUCGACCGCUUCAGAAAACAUAAAGCCACGUCCAUUUCGCUCCUUGUGGCGACCGAAAGCGUCGAUCUUGGCCUGAAUGUGGGGUGCCAUGGCAUUCCCCAGCCUUUCAAUGUUGGCAUUGCAGUCCCAUACCUUCUUGGCAGCGUCCAUACCCAAGACACACAGCGGCCUCACCAAGCCGCUCACAACCUCCAUGAUCGAAAAAUCCUGUCCGCUUCAGCUAAAAUGGCACAGUUCUUACGUCGUCACGUGGUCUCCAGGUUGGCAGUCAAGUAGUUGGACGCGCUGGAGCUAGUGUCCUUCUCCUGGACACUUCCAGAGGCUCGAUUGGAUCGAUGGGACCUUGUUGAUCUGCGCGUUGUUGAUCCGCCGUGUCCAAACGGGUUUACCAUUCUACCGCCUGCCAGCUCAGACUUGGAGAACAUCGGGGGUUCGACUCCUGACAACUAUUAGCAACGGUCGCGGGUUCGACUCCCAUUGACGUCGUGCUCCAGUGUGGAUAAAAUUCUUUAAGAGCGUUGUCUAGCAAUAUGACGUGAGGCUCUUCCCCUUUCUCGGGUUUGGCAAGAUUCGAGGCCGUGCCCUCUGGCAUUGCUUUAAAACAACCGUGACGGCGAAAGUGAUUAGCCUAACCGUAGCAACUAGGCAAGUGGAUAUUCUUUCUUUCCUUGUUAUAUCGAUACAAUCCACAUGGCGUAAUACCCUAGGGAAAGCUCAGUGUGGAGGAGGCUGUAGGGUUACUGGGAAUCACAGGCUCUGCCACGAUGAUCCGGCGGCGGUGGUAUUGCGGAGAGAUGGUGGCGCCAGCAAUCAUCGCUUGAUGAGAGUGAGCAGCAGCAGGAGGAUUUGGAUUCCCAGGAUCGAUUCGCUUGCACGCGCGUGUGCGCGUCGGAUCGGAUGAUGAAGCAAGUGGGCAGCUUUGCAAAGAAUGUGACGCCCAGUUGUGUGGGGUCUUGGAUUUGGAUGCUUGUGCCGACGCGUGCGCUCGAUCCGUUUGUUCUACGCAGCAUUGGAACGAUGUUUGUAUGCGGCGAUGCUAGAGCGAGAUGAGACUGCUCGGCUCUAUGGGCGGUACAACGCCGACAAGAAAGAAGAGCUCAUAUUGACGGCGACGAGGAUUUCAUGGAUGAUCUUGCGGAAGCGCCACCGCCCCCAAAGAUCAUCCAGUGGGAACCAUCAGGGACUGCUUCUCCGGACAUAGAUUGGCCCUCUUUCGCUGUUCUAACUUCUCUCUGCCAGAAAAUCGAUCACGUCGCUUGGAAGGGGAGCGCAAGGCUUUAAAGCGGUGCAUUACGUCCAAGCAAUACGAGCUUGUAGCAAGGCAGCGCAGAAACUCCCGGAUUGCAGCAAAUGUUGGAGCCCGAGCUGAUGGAGUCCAGGUUACUCUCUCUCUCUCUCUCUCCAAGCCUAUAAUGCAUAACAUUUUUACUUUCAGGCUCUGGAGCUCGGGUUUUGUGGCCGAGCACUCUCGGACCAAAUGCUGCACAGCUGAGAAAGCUCCGGCUGCAUGGGAACUACGUCUGUCAGACUCGGAACUACAGGCGGUUAUACGAUCCAAGCUAUCAAUGCAGAGAAGUUUUUUCUCCUAUACUUUAUUCUUUCUUCUGUGAAACGAAAACGAUCGCAAGGAGAAAAGGCUAUUAUGGUAUCACGCGUUUUUGGAUUAGGGGGCUCUUGGCGGAGGGAGUUCGCCGGUGGAUGAGCGCUCUGAGGCGGCGACGCAAGCUAUGACGAUCGCCCUCUACAUCAGGGAUGUCCUAUAAAGAGGCAUAAUGUAGCUUAGCUAGUGAUUGAUCGAUCGCCUGGAAAUACUUCUUGCAGUGAUCCCGUCCCGCAAGAAGAUCACGAUUUCAUAGCUCCGCAUCCGACAUGGCUGCCUCCGAUUGAGCAAAGUAGCACCGGAUCGCGACCGAGCAGUGUCAUCGUCUUCAUCUGCCGCAUUGAUUGCCGCACUGGAUCAACUGGCCCCAGCGAUUCCCGAUUCCCGGGCAACCAAGAACUGCAAGAGGACUUACACUGCGAUCAAGAGGCUCAUGGUAACUUCACUUCUUUUGACUUUGGAGAGUUCUUAUGUUCUGUUUCUAGAAUAUAAGAAGAAAGGCAAGCCGGAGUGCUGUCGGGACUGGAGCAAGAAUGGAGGGCACUGCGCUUGGAAUUUGGAGCCUCUACAGCCCGUCACGCUUAUACAUUUUUAGGCUUCUCUACAAUCAGUACGUGGAUAGAAGUUUACCAUCGUUGUUUCCCCUCACACUUGUGUUUGCAGGAUUGAAAUGAUUUGACAAAUUUCGGCUCUUGGUUUUACCAGAGGUCGACACUGCUACGUGUGGAAUCCAUACAAUAGGCUCGACUUUGUCAUUGUUUUCGAUUCCUGGUAAUGUUGAGCUUUUGUAUUUGAUGGUCGUAAGUGUUUCCCCAGCUCUUUGGGAGGUGCAUAACUGGACAUAAUUUUUUCGCGCGGACAGCCGUGUUCCGCGUGUUUCGGGGCCUGCUAGCGUUGAAGCACGUCACAUUUUUUGCCGAUGUCAUAGUAUGGUUUGUAAAUUUCUGAUUUGUGCAUUGUUAACACUUGACAAUAGGCCAUCAUGGCGGCCGUGAAAAAAAGCGUUGGUCCUCUCCAAAACGUUAUCCUUUUGACGUUUUUUCUGUUGGUUUUCUAUUCUCUACUAGGCACGCAGUUCUUGCAAAACUCGAUGAAUCAAAGGUAAUCUCGAUAGUUCUCAUCACGUGAAAUCAAAAUCCUCCUGGGCAGGUGCUUUCGAACAGCGGACAGGCAACUGGCUUAUCCGAUGCGCUUUUGUGACAAAAAAGCUGCUGGCGGCUACGUAUGUCCACCAUUUCAGAACUGUAUGGUGAGUUUUUUCUAUAAGCUCAUUCCUUAUUUCAUCUCUUUGUUUGUAGACAUACGAGAAUCCCAACCAUGGAGCGACAACUUUUGAUUAUCUCUGGUAUUCGCUGCUUACCAUGUUUCAGGUUUGUGUCACUUCAUAGCAUCUUAUCGCCUUAGCACACUUCAAAGUGGACACUCUGCAGGUGAUAACUUUGGAAGGAUGGAGCCUCGUCAUGCAUGAUGUGAAGGAUGCUGAAGGGGAGCGAGCCAAUAAGACAUUGAUAACAUUGUGCUCUUAUCGUCCUUCAAGUAUGGCAUGUCAAAACGAUUGUUGCAUACGCUCGGUAUUCAUUUCACGACUUCCUUUCUGUUCAUUCAUCUGAUAAAGUUUGUAUGCAGACGGGUUGCAAGCAGUAAUGCUUUUUUCUUUUAGCGCGGAACUUCUGCUGUACUUUCUAGGGUACGGUCCUGGCGAUUUUUUUUGCCACGGUGAGUACAUUGUUUCCGGUUGUCUUCUGGUCUGAUCCUUAAAUUUCCAGGAAUGAAUUUGCUGGACUUGAUAGUCGUUAUGAUAUCUAUUGUUCUCAUUCGUUUCCAAAUUUAACAAUCAUGCGGUGGUUUUACUCUUCAAAGAAGUAUGUUGCAAAACAUCCCAGUGUAGUGGUGAGUUGCUGCAUUCACUUUGAUUGAUUUUAGUACGUGAUACAGGCUACUUGCAUGGAAAGUGUUGGUUCUUUCUUUUUUCUUCUGGUUAUCAUAGCAAUCUCUAUCAUCAGCAUGGAAUUGUACAGUGGGCAGUAUUACAGCUUUCCUGAAGAGUAUCUGCGAGCAAAUCAUGAUUCCAUACUGGAAGCCAUGCUCGUCUGGUUUACGGUAACCAUCCUGGGUAAACCAAAUGUGGAAUUCCCUGCGACCUGGAGUUCAAUAUAAGUAAGCAGUCACUCAAGUAUCUCUAGUAUUGACGCAUUCGUGUUUGCAGCGUAGUGGCACCGUUUUUAUACGUCUUUUACUUCGUCGUGACAGUUUACGUCGUUAUGAAUCUUAUCAUUGCUGUCUUGCUCGAGAGAAACGAGCUUACUGACAACCAGAAGAAGCGAAUCCAACGGGUGAGAGAGGUAAAAAAUGAAUGAGAACUGAACUAUUUUCUUUCAGAUGGAACACAUGAAGUUAAUCAAGAGAAUGCAAAGUCAGGCACUCACAAGAAGGGGAAGCUGUGGGCGCGGUAGAAGGAAUGAAAGGUUUGUGACGGAUGACAACUCGGAUCACGUAAGACCGGUUAAAGCCAGGCCAAGAGAGAAGGGGUCCCAGGGUCGUCAACGCCCGGCAGUAACUGCUGCUAAGUCUGAUGGGGGUACUACUGGAUCCGCUUUAGAGGCCCCAUCGUCGGUCGUUCCAGCUGCAGAGUUUUCUGAAGCACCGCCGUCGCGCCACAGGCGUUCUUCCUAAGUUUUACAGGUUUCUGGUUUUCCGUCUAAUAUCGGUGAAAGGAGGGGUUCAAGGACCGCACUUCAAGAUGCCGUGAUAACUCUCGACAAGAUUCUCAGCAGUCCAAAAAUUGGCAGAAAUCUAAGCAGGGCCUCUAGCAACAGGAAAUCUUUCCAGCUAUCGGAGUACGAAGAGCUCGAGAGAACUCUUACAACCAUACAGAGACCAUGGUACUUGCGAGAAGGGUCGCUUCUUCUAUCAACACGAUAAGGAUCCUGUCUAGGAAGAUCCUCGGCAGUAAACCGUACUUGUGGUUUGUGAUAGUUUGGAUGGUCAUCAAUACUUGGCUCGUAGUUGAUAUGGGAGAUGAUGGAGAGCCGAUAAUUGUCCCCGAUUUCAUCUGGAGUUUGCAGAAGAUCAACUUUGUGCUAAGGACAUGCUUAUCUUAUUUUGCCUGACAUUGUACAUUGUUUUGGAGCAGGUCUUUUUGCUAGACUGUUUGAUGAAGAUCGUUGCACAGGGACUUAUUUUUGCGCCACACGCAUACCUGAGUGACUGGUUCAACAUCUUGGACUUGUUUAUUCUCGUCACUGAUGCGCUUAUUCUUCUGAAGUAUAACGCUGAGGAUGAAACUCCCAUACCAACCGUGUUUACUUCUCUUCGGUCAUUUCGUUUCGUGGUUCGGUUUACAGGACUGAGGUCAUUAUUAUCAAAUCUUUUUCGGACUAUUCCAGCAAUUGUGUCGGUUAUUCUCUUCACAUUUUUAAUUCUCCUGAUAUUUGGAACCAUCGGGCUGCAGCAGUUUCGGGGCCUUCUCUGGAAAUGCAAUGACCCGACAAUCACACACCGAGCAUAUUGUACCGGCCUCUAUGUUAAUGACAUGGGUUAAUAACGUUUUCCACUUGGACGACAUCCAGAAUGCCCUCCUCCGUAUGUUCGUCUGCUUCACUUUCGACAACUGGCUGACGCACUUCAUGUAUCCUGUCAUGUACAUCACUAGGGAAGACCACCAGCCUGUUCGGAACGCGAGUCCCUGUCAACGCCUUGUUUUUCGUGGCAUUCUGCUGUAUUGGGGGAUUUAUAUCGUCAGAGUUUUCAUCGGUGUGUUUAUCAACGAGUUUGGAAAAAAUUCUGGAGCAGUUCUUCUCACAGAGAGGCAGAAGCUGUGGAGGGACAUGAACCGUAUCAUCCAGAAAACUGAUGCUAUUCCGAUGGCUCAACCACCAAGCAAUCCCAUCCGAGGGAUGUGCUUCUACUUGAUUCGCAAUCUGACAUAUCAAAAGUGCAUGAUCCUCGCACUCCUUGGCUACUCCAGGCUACUUGCAACUAACUAUGCUGGCCAGUCGGCAGUUGUUUCGGACCGGCGUCAGAUGGCUCACUGUGCGAUUACAACAUAUUUCCUGCUCGAAUCCGUGAUGAAGUUCCUUGGCAACGAGGUACCUCAUUCAUCUUUUUCUCGAUUGUUUUUUGUUUGACCACCUGGUUUUUCCUUUCUCCAAGGCGGCAACUGAUCCCCUGACCGUGAAAUCGUAGCCCCCUCCGCCGCCGCCGACGCUGCUGCUAGCGCCAGCUCCAUCCCGCUUGCCCGCCAGUGGAAGGUCUAUAAGAACGAGGUUGCACGGCAGAUGGAGUUCGGACUCUCUAUAAUGGCCGCCAUUGGUCUCAUGGGAAAGAAGGGAACGGUGCUAUGUCGGCCGCACUGCCUACAUUGCUCGAGUUUUCUGCAUCAUUCCUCACGUAGCGAGAGCGCAGGUUAUUAUGCGAACAAUGUUCAUCUGUUUGCCAACUGUAGCUGAGAUACUUGCUCUUCUCGCAAUUUUCAUGUAUAUGUUCGCGGGGAUGGCGUUCCAACUCUUCAGUGCAAUGAAGGAAGGACCCUGCAUUGGCCCGUCUGUCAACUUUCGCACUUUCGUCAACGCUUUCAUCGCGGUGUUUCAGGUAAAGCCUUGCUUUUUUAUCACUUUCAGUUUCGCUUUUCUUUUACAGGUUACAACUCUUGCUAACUGGUCUUGUGUUAUGAUGGAUACCACAAUUGAUGCACCCGCCUGCACCAACGGUAAAACACUACUUGGCAAUGAUUGUGGCUAUCCAGAGGGCCGAAAUAUCUUCUUCGCCUUCUUGGUCUUGGUCGGGAGUCACAUAUUCAUGAACUUCUGUGUGGCUGUCAUACUGGAUGCUGUAACCUUCGGCCUUGUGAACGAGAACUCUAUGGUCAUGCCGGAGCACCUAUUAGCAUAUCGAAACUUGUGGAGCCAAGAACCAUUCUAUCCCAAGUAAGCCACUUAAUUACGUUCAAGUCCUUGUGGAACUAACUUUACAAUCGUCCAGUGGUAUGGGAUACAUUGGCAUGCACAAGCUGCAUCGAUUUGUAAACGCCCUUGCUUCCAAUUCCGCAAUCGACCUCUGCAUUGCAUUGCGUCGUUCGGGGAUCCGUUGGGCCGGCACUACAAAUACAAGACCCAAUGGUUUGGCGUGUUCCUCUCAAUCUCUCUUUGUCUCUCUCUCAAUUUUUUCUUUGUUCUGUUCAGGUACAUGAGAAUAGAGUACGAGGUGAUGAGUUUUCGAGUUCCAAACAAAGGAAUCCCUUUCAAGAAGCCGCUGGAAACGCUGACGCUGUAUAAGAUUGGACCAACUGUAAGUAGCUGCUAUUCCAAGCUUUUGAUACUAACGUUAAGCGGAUCCAGGCCGUACAUCCAGGGCGCUGCAACGAAAAUGUAGGCUCUCGUGAGAGGAUUCCUGGGGAGGAUAAGAGCCGGCAAAGGUGGUGCUGUUGUGCGCAAAACCGAGGUAGCAGCUGAACAAGAAUUGGAAUUGACAAGGAGCAAACCCGAGGUGCUAGAGAUUGCCAGGGACGUGAGAGGCGAAGCUCUCCUGGUGGAAGAGCAGUGCUGCGGUCGCAUUUUUGUAUAUUAAUUUAGAGGAAAAUAUGUCAAACUAUGUAGAGGUGGGACGUUCGAAUACCAAAACGCUUUGGAAAUAAAAACUUACGUAUCUUGAGAUUGGGGCGGUCCUCAAGCCAAGGUGGAAUUUUCAUGCCUUCCGGGCAGUCUAGCCUUUUCAGCCUGGGAAAUGCGCCCUGGCUGUGAUUGUGGGACCACAGUGCAUCGUUAAGUAUCACGCUUCGCCCCGAAAUGUUAAGACGUUUCAAACAUGGCAGUGAUGCAAUGGACGAUGGAACGAUAGUCUCAUCAUCACUGAUCAAGUGCACAGCUUCUAUAUCAGUCAUUUGAUCUGAUGGCUCAAAGAAAUCAUUUUGCAUCUUCCUGCACCAUACUGAAAGAAAUUGAACCUUGAGUGAUGACCUCUCGGUUGGCAACAACAGUCUCUUUAUGCAACCCGUUAUUCUCAGAACCCCGAGGCGAUUGGGGAGCUGUGCCACAAAGAGAGGCAAGUGCUCCCAUUCAAUAUCAGGAGCUAGCUCAAACUCCAACUCCUUCAGAUUUGGAAAACUGGCAGCAAAAUCAUCCUUGAAUUCUGACUGUGCAAUGUGUAGAUUAGUAAGUAUCAGAAAUUCAACACCUGGGAAUGGUCCAUGGACCAGGUUGAAGAAGUGGAUACGACUGCAGUCAAUUUCAAGUUUUUCUAGGCGGUGGGGCAACCAAGAUAGGUUUAUAAUUUCACGGAUGCGUAAAUAUCGUAGUUGCAGCCAUUCAAAGCUGUCAUCAUUAUUUUCACUGUCUUCUACCCCAGAAAUGGAAAAAUCUUUAAGCCUGAUUGAUUUCUUAAACAUUCGCUUCAACGGAAGUCUACUGACAGAUUCCAUGUGAAUUUCACAUGUUUUUAGGUUGACAAGUUGCCAUAACCCAACGAAACUGGCAAAGUCAAUGUUGUUUGCAUGUAAAACCAAUGUUUCAAUGUGCUCCAGUGUCCCCAUGCUUUCUGGCACCUUCAUUGUACCAUGUGUCAUUCUUAGAUCUAGAAGUCUUAGUUUACGUGAAAUUCCAGUCAAAUCCACAACUGAUGACUCCUCUUUUGAAUCAAGCCUCAGCUCCAGCUCUUCCAAGUUGGAGAGCUGGGGCAGUAAUGCAAUGUUACACUUUAUUGGCGUCCACUGAGUAGAUUUUAGAUAUUUCAGUGAUGUCAGGCUGAAAAGCGCAUCUGGUAGUUGACUCGCUUUUGUUCCUCGAAUGUCAAGCACUUGAAGGUUUUUCAGCUUGGAAAUGCUCUCUGGAAUAAAAUGGAUCUUAGAGCAUUUCCGCAAGCUCAAUACCUUGACACCUUGUAUAUGAUCGAUAAGAUUGUCAUCCACAUUAGAAAGUCCUUUACAUUUAUCCAGAAGUAAGACAUCUCGCACAUGAUUAUCGGAUAGAAAGCUGCCAACAUUCUUUGAGAAGAAUGAGACUUUAGCAAAUGUUGCAUCCCGAAUGCCAAUUGUCCAGUCAUAUCCAAACAGGCAUCCCUUCUCGUGCUCUUGCUGUGGACUGUACUUCCCUUUUAAGAUUCUUAUGCACAGUUUGCGUAGCAUAUCGUGUACGAUUAUAUAACCAGGAGCUUCUUCAUCCCUCCAAGACUUAUAUAUCUUGACCAGGCAUCUCCGUUCCAGUUCAUUGACAAUCGCUGUGGGUGAGAGUUCUGACCCAACCUCCAUCCAACAUUUCCUCAACUCAGUAAACUCAAUCUCCUCGUCUUCUGGGAAUGCGGCCACAUAAAGAAAGCACUCUUGCAGCUUUUCACCCUCAUACUUUCCCAGCUCGUCAUAGCUGAACUUCAAGCGCUUGAACAUCUGCUUCUCAACAUCUAGGUCAUUGGACAAGUGCAACCUCUUAUAUCGUUCUUCCCACACAUGUGGCCCUUCACUUCUGUGGACAGCCAUGGCACUGCCAAUCACUUCCAGAGCGAGAGGAAGUCCCUCACAUUUUCGAGCUAUUUUCUCCGCAAAUCCCACAACAUCAGGGUCACUGGGUUGUGGAUCAUGCACACCGAAGGCAAACUUCCAAAACAUCUUUUUGCUUUCAUCCAUUGAUAGCUCAUGCACAGGAAAUGCCUUUGCAUCCAGACUGCGCAAAAUGCCUUCCUUUCUGGUUGUUACCAGGAUCCGGCCAGAGCAUGGCCCUGCUAUAAAAUCCAGUUCCUUUGCCCAGCUCCAGUCCCAGACAUCAUCCAGUACCAGCAAGACACGGUUACCACCAGCAAGAUCGCGUGCCAAGUGCUGCAUGUCGUCAAGGCUUCCUUUGGCCCUCUCUUUCAUUUCACCCCAUUCAAGAGCGUUGAGGAGCUGGGCCUUGAGAUCGUCCUCCGAAGCAUCUUUCUUCACAGUGAUCCACACAAUGUUGUCAUGGAAAUGCUCCCGCACCCUCUCGUCAUUGUGCGCGCAGCUUGCGAGGGUGGUCUUUCCACACCCUCCCAUUCCCAAGAGUCCAACCCAUUUGCUACGGGCUUCAGGAUCCAAGAGGGCAUUCACCACCUCAUCGAGCAGUUGCUCAUGGCCACCAAACAUGGCAUCAGGAACACCACGCCGUACAUAUUUUUUUGCAGGGCCUCUGUCUUGCGGGGAACUCCGUACGGCGAAGCUAGUGCUCGGCUGUAUCACUCUCAACUCUUCUCGCUCGUACCUUUCCAUUUUCGGAACGAGAUCGCCCUCGUAGCUGUGUAUCAGCUUCGAGAUCUCGCCAUAACGCUUCUCCCUGUGAAAGAUCCACAGAUAUUUUAGCUUUACUGUUAGAGCUCUUGUGUAAGCUUACUGUGAUCCCAGCAGUGCUUGCGCCUUGUCGUUCCAUUUUGUGACAUGAUCAAGACACUCCUCGGCUCCAUCAGAAUAGCGGAACUCUGGAUUCCGGUGCUUGUGAGUAUGAAACUUGUUAAGCAAGGCCUGGAUGCUGGCCCCCCCCUUUUCCAGCAUCGCAAUGUCCACAUUCAGCUCGUGCCCGUGACUUUCGAUCUGCGACAGGAGAUCCUGGUAGGGGCUUAUGCACUCCAUGAUCUUGCCACUCCGCUUGUACCUAUAUGAAGAAAUAAAUUCAGCCUUCUUGCACAAAAAUGCUCCAAAACAUACCGUCUAACGGGGUUCCAGAUCCUGUUGUUGCGUGAUCCCAAGAGUCCUUGCGCCUUGCUAUUCCAUGUCCUGACACGCUCCAAGCAUUCCUCGGCCGCUUCAGAAAACAUAAAGCCUGGAUUCUGCUGCUUGUGCUCACUGAAAGCGUUGACCUUGGCCUGGAUGUUGGGCGCCAUAUUCUCCAGCCUUUCAAUGUUGGCAUUGCAGUCCCAAACCUUCUUGGCAGCGUCCAGACCCAAGCCACACAGCUGGCUCACCAAGCCGCUCACACACUCCAUGAUCGAAAAAUCGUGUCCGCUUCAGCUAAAAUGGCACCGAUAUAAGGCCAAAACUUCUUACGUGGUCUCCAGGGACGCGCUGGAGCAAAUGUCCUUCUCCUGGACACUUCCAGAGGCUCUAAACAAGGCCGCAUAGUCUCUAUGCCCCCGGUCCGUCCUGGAAGCUCACCGUGCACUGGAGAUCAUCCGAGGUGACAUGCCCAGACAGGUGCGCGAUGGUGCCGUUGUCCACGAAGAACUCCACUCCCCGGCACUUUCCAACGGGCUGCGAGUGUGAAUCCGGAGUGUCGGUCACGUUCAAGGAGAAUGCGAGGCCGCAGCCGUCUUUGAAAGGUGGCCCGGUGUCUUUCUUGCAGCCUGCAACAGGGAAGAUGUUGUAGCCGCUUUUGGUGAAGCAUCCCUGCAGAGAAGCUGUUAGUGAAGAGAGCUGCGAGCUCGAAAGAUGUGCUUACCUGAGAAUUCUCGAGAAGGACAAGAAGUAAGCUAGCCCCGGCCCCGGCCAUGCUUUGGUCCUUGCCCGCUGCCAAGGAAUGGAGUCCGUUUAAAAGCGUUGUUUCGGCUCUCUUGUACAUAGCAUGUCAAGCCUGCGAGUCUUUCAAUCAUUUGAGAGCAUAACCUGUGUGAAACUUGUCUGCGUCAAUUCUCGACAGCAGAAGCUGCGCGAAGAAUUUAAAGUUCCAAGUGUAAGCAAACCAAGACUUGUAUGUACCUUGAAUGAAACUUAACACGAAACAAUUAGUUCAAUGCUUUACACCAAUCAAAGCUUUGAACAAAUAGCACACGCUCCUACGCUUUCCCAAUACACAAAACACGGAGCACUGGAGAAAGGAUACUGAUAGCAAAGAAACAAACUCUACUUACAGUAUAAACCCCGCUUAUCGUCCUAAUUUUCAAAAUCGCUGUGGCCACCACAGAGAAAACAUCACGCAAGGGUCCAUUCUAACAAAAACCUGACCUUCAUGCUGCAACAGGAGAAUCCGGAGCUGAUCCAAUUGAAGUACCUUCGGGAUCCUUAGGCAAGGCAACGUAAUUCAUCAUCGGAGAGUAGCGUUUCACCCGGCUACCCUUUUGAGGACCCUGAUUGCUAGCCUUAGGUGCGGGUAAGAGCUCAGGGACUAUCGAAAGUCGUCGGUUUGCAUUGUUUCCACUCACGCGAAGUCCCACCUGUCCCUUUUUGGACGCCUUUGUGCCGUAGAGCAGCUCCUGCUCAGUUUGCAGUUGCUCCUGCAUUCUCUUCUCCUCCUGCAUUUAGCCAGUUAACGCCUUAACAGGCACUAAACUGCAGAGUUACCCUCAGUCGGCGCUUUUCUUCUUCUUUCUCUCGUCGUAGCAAGCUAUAUUCUUCUAGAAUUGCCAGUAGAGAAAUCUGCAAAGAACUUUCAGAAGCGUCUAGGAAAAUCACUUACGUACCCCGUUAUAUAAGAAGGGCCUGCCUCUUUCGUCCCCCAAGACCGCGUUUUGGACUUCAAUGAUUCAAGAAGAUCUGCAAACGGGUUGUGAAAACUGAGAAAAGGAAAUAGCAAACGAAGAAUUCAAACGCACUGGGGAGUUUGGCCACGAUGACACGAGCUCUUUCUGCACGUUUUAGACUCAAAUGUGCUCCUCUGGUUGCAUUGAAGCGGCUUUCAUCCUACAAUCGAAAAUGAAUAAGUGAAAUAGCAUAACGCUCAUACCUUAUUGUAUUCUUCAAGCCAGCUUUCUUCUUCACACGCUCUAAUCCACCGUUCCAUUCAUUCCAUUAUAUCUUGUCUGCCGAGUGAUUCUUCCUUCUCCUCGGCGAUACUACUUUCGAUUGUAGCAAGUAGUUCUGACAAGUCCACUAUUCCUGUGCACAACAAACAUCAGGCAAGAAAUGUGAACAGAAUAAAUUUAUACCUGACUCCCGAUCGUCUUGCCUAAUUUCUCUAGCGUCUCAUCGCUAAUACUUCUGCUCUGGCCUGGAUCACAAAGGCUCGGAUGCACUUCCUUGACAGCCUCGGUGUAGUCUGUCCCCAACAGGACGCAAUAUCCCUGCAGAACCUCGAGAAGCUCUGAGAAUUUGUGGAGCUGGGUACGCUGGAAAUGUCACUUGUAAGAAAAAAGAAUGCCAACCGUGCCAAUACAAACCAACCUUUUUAUCCUGAAGCUCUUGAAGCUGGCAAUGGUACUCAUAGUCUCAUACAGCUUUCUCAGCAACAAAUCUUUCCAACAAAAAGCUCCAUUCUCGGUCUCUUGCAAUGUCCCCGGCGAUAUCUCCAGAGAGAGCCUUUGUAUCUGGCAUUGGACGUCCUCAAAUUGCUUCAGCCGCUCCUCUUUCCUCAGACGCAAGCAUUCUAACUGAGGUGAGACGGACAAGAGCUGCUCCCGCAGAGUAGUGCCCGACCUCUUCUCUAACUGAAAGGAAGAACAACGGGCAUUGGAAAAGCACUGUGAGAUGGAUCAAACAAAGCAUACCGUGCAAGGGCGAUCACCCAGGAGCAACAGGAGCGACGCGAGCUCCGACUCGGAAUCCGCCAGCAGCUGGUGCAGCCCAGCCCUCACGGAAUUCGCUUGAUCCACCUUCCGCCGGUACACAUCCAGGCAUUCUUGCUCCAGCUGGAGCAGCAUUCUGUCCCUCUCCUCGUCGCUCUGCCCCAUCUCCUCCCAGAUGCUCUACGCGCGGCCGAUCCACCGCGAUCGUGAGAAACUCCAGAGGCAAUAAUUCGCGAGGAGCCGAGGCUUACCUGGAGCUCCCGCAGCAGCGAUCGGCAAGUCGUGUCCUCGCCUUCCAUGGCCUCCAGAAUCAAAAUGCGCGUCCCCAGAUCAAUCAGCUGUCGACAUUCUUUGCAGCUGGAGAAAAAGUUGUAAGAAAAAAACGAAGAAACAAUAGAAAUAAUAGAAAACUUACCGCGUUCUUGGCCUUCUUCGUUCCAACUCUACUCACGAGCGUGUUCUUCCGAUCGAUCCUCAUUUCUCGAUCCACCUCGCGUUGCCGUAAUCCGUCAUCUACGAAACACCACGAACUCUAGGUUCCAUUCUUAACACCUGUGAAGAAAAAGCGGCAAAAGGAACGAAAGAUGACCAUUCGCAAGAUCCUGGACGAGAAUGCGGUACCUUGUUCGAUACUACUGGCACGAUCUUCAGAGUAUCAAAAAGCCCGAGAGCAAACAUGGUCAGAUUCCAUGCACCGGCUUCACUGUUCGCAUUCGCUCCAACGAAAUCCACACCGAUGCGCCGAUCCUGGUCUUACUCAAAGCGGUGGAAGCACAUUCUUCCUGUAGAGGAGAAUACAUAACCUUGUUGAUCUGCGCGUUGGCGGUGUUCCAGUAGGAUGUUUUACUGGUAACGGUGGAUCAUAGCGCCUGCUGAGCAUACCGGCGAGCGAUCUAUCUCCUCAUCAAUUCUGUCCAAUCCUCUUGCACACAUGAAAACGCGAGACCUGGAAUAGUGGUCAUCGACACCCGAUGCCGCUACACCGUCGUCAUGCAUCGGCUGUGCGAAAUUUGUGGCGCGCCACGAACCGGAUCGAGACUAGCAGCUCCGAAAAAUCCACAAUACCCUUGGAUGUGAUGCCAGCGAACAAGACGCAGCGCGCAGCGAGCAAAAGAACUCUUAUAGAUGGUGUAGCUGCUGGCAAGGCCGAGCGCCCGGACCAAACCAAUGGAUUGAUGCUCAGCUCCAGCGGCGCCAUUGCCGAUGAUGACCGCGCGGCACACCACAGUCGACAAUCCCCCCAUCCAAACGGGUUUACAAUCCUUCAACCCUACCGCACGUGGAGAGCAUCCGGGGUUCGAAUCCUGACAGCUACUAGCAACAGUCGCGGUUCGACUCCCAUUGACGCCGUGCUCCAGUGUGGAUAAAAUUCUUUAAGAGCGUUGUCUAGCGAUGUGACGUGAGGCUCUUCUCCUUUCUCGGGUUUGGCACAAUCGAGGCCGUACCCUCUGGCUCCAAGUGGAUAUUCUUUCUUUCCUUGUAUAUCGAUACAAUCCUUCUAAUCUACGAGUGGCUCGUGUGCUAGGGUUACUGGGAAUCACAGGCUCGGCCACGAUGAUCCGGCUGUGGCGGCGCGGGAAGAGCGGCAAGAGUGGCGCUGUGUCAUAGACCUCAAGUGCUAGUGAUGCAAGGGAAGAGAGUGGCGAGCAUGAUUUACAUUGGUUGGACAGAAAGAUGCCCACCUCACUCACUUUUUCCCCUUUCUAGCUUUAACAAUGGAGAUUGGCAUUGCGGAGAGAUGGCGGCGCUGGCGAUCAUCGCUCGAUGGGAGCGAGCAGCAGCAGCAGGAUUUGGAUUCCCAGGAUAGAUUCGCUUGCAAGCGCGUGUGCGUGUCAGAUCCGAUGAUGAAGCGAGUGAAAAUGAUGUGACGCCCAAUUUGUGCGUCACUGUGUAUGGGGUCUCGGAUUUGGAUGCUUGCACCAAGGCGUGCGCUCGAUCCGUUUGUUCUACGCAGCAUUGGAACGAUGUUUGUAUGCGGUGAUGCCAGAGCGAGAUGAGACCUCUCGGCUCUAUGGGCGGUACAGCGCCGACAACAAAGAAGAGCUCUUCUCCAGGGUGAGCCAGCCACAGGAGGCACAGACUGACGGCGACGAGGAUUUCAUGCGCGAUGAUCUUGCGGAAGCGCCGCCGCCUCCAAAGAUCAUCGAGUGGGAACCGGGGACCGCUUCUCCCGACGUGGAUUGGCCCUCCGUCGCUGUUCUCUCUGCCAGAAAAUCGAUCAUGUCGCUUGGAGCGGGAGGCUUUAAGCGGUGCAUUACGUCCAAGCUAUACGAGCUUGUACCAAGGCAGCGCAGAAACUCCUGGCAGUACCUCUCUUGCAGAUCUUGCUCCUGGAUUGCAGGAAAUUUCGGAGCACUGAGGCUUGUUUUUCUAUCACUUUCAGUUUCGCUUUUCUUUUACAGGUUACAACUCUUGAUAACUGGUCUUGCCUUAUGAUGGAUACCACAAUUGAUGCACCCGCCUGCACUAACGGUAAAACACUACUCGGCGAUGAUUGUGGCUAUCCAGAGGGGGUGACAUUAUCUUCUUUGCCUUCUAGGUCUUGGUCGGGAGUCACAUAUUCAUGAAUUUGUUCGUGGCUGUCAUACUGGAUGCCGUAACCUUCGGCCUUGUGAACGAGAACUCUAUGGUCAUGCCGGAGCACCUGUUAGCAUAUCGAAACUUGUGGAGCCAAGAACCAUUCGAUCCCAAGUACGCCACUUACGUUCAAGUCCUUGUAGAGCUAACUUUACAAUCGUCCAAUGCUACGGGAUACAUUGGCUCCUGAGCUUAUGAGCUCAAAAUUUACCCGGGCUCCAAGCAUUUUGCUUCCCAGUCGAUGUGUACUUUGUGUUUGACGAUUUGUAAACGCCCUCGAUGACCCGCUGGGCCGGCGCUACAAGUCCGCAACCCAAUGGUUUGGCGUGUGUUUGCGGAAUCCUCCCAAUCUCUCUUUGUCUCUCACUCGUUUUUUUCUUUGUUCUGCUCAGGUACAUGAGAAUAGAGUAGCGGUUUUGUAUAUAUUGAUUUAGAGUAAAAAUAUGUCAAACUACGUAGAGGUGAGACGUUCGAAUACCAAACGCUUUGGAAAUUAAAACUUAUCACGAUUUAUCUUGAGAUUGGGGCGGUCCUCAAGCCAAGUUGGAAAUUUCAUGCUUUUCAGGCAGUAUAGCGAUUCCAGCCUGGGAAAUGCGCCCUGGCUCUUAUUGUGGGACCACAGUGCAUCGUUAUGUAUCACGCUUGGCCCAAAAAUGUUAAGACGUUUCAAACUUGGCAGCGAUGCAAUGGACGAUGGAACGAUAGUCUCAGCACAGCUCAACCCCUUGCUUAAAACGUUUUAUCUUGAGAUUGGGGCAGUCCUCAAGCCAAGGUGGAAUUUUCAUGCCUUUCGGGCAGUAUAGCGAUUCCAGCCUUUUUGUAUAUAUUGAUUUAGAGGUGAGACGUUCGAAUACCAAAACGCUUGCUAACGACGUUGUAUGUCGAGAUUGGGGCGGUCCUCAAGCCAGGUGGAAAUUUCAUGCCUUCCGGGCAGAUUAGCGAUUUCAGCCUGGGAAAUGCGCCUGGCUCUGAUUCUGGGACCACAGUGCAUCGUUCUGUAUCACGCUUGGCCCCGAAAUGUCAAGAAAUUUCAAACCUGGCAGCGAUGCAAUGGACGAUGGAAUGAUAGUCUCAUCACAUCUCAAAUGCACGAUUUCUAUAUCAGUCAUUUGAUCUGAUGGCUCAAAGAAAUCAUUUUGCAUCUUCCUGCUGGAUACUGAAAGAGAUUCAACCUUGAGUGAUGAACUCUCGGUUGGCAACAAAAGUCUCUUCAUGAGACCACUUACGCUCAGAUGCUUGAGGCGAUUGGGGAGCCGUGUCACAAAGAGAGGCAAGUGCUCCCAUUCAAUAUCAGGAGCUAGCAAAAAGGACAACCGCUUUAGAUUUGGAAGACUGGCAGCCAAAUCAUCCUUGAAUUCUGACUGUGCAAUGUGUAGGUUAGUAAGACACAGAUCUCCAAGACGUGGGAAUGUCCAGGUUGAACAAGUGGAUACGAUUGCAGUUAAUAAAAAGUGUUUCUAGGCGGUGGGGCAACCAAGAUAGGUUUAUGAUAUCACGGAUGUCUAAAUAUCGUAGUUGCAACCAAGCAGUUGAAGGUUUUUCAGCUUGGAUAUAUAUCUCUGCAUGGUGUUUUGGCAAUCAGUAUUCGGUCGGAGCAUGGUAUGUACGUACAGCACGGCUGAACUAGCAUCGUACUCCGCUUUUGGAGAACUCACUCAAUGAUCUCGAGAUGAACUGGAGGAGUUCGGGAUCACACCUUGAUGCUGUACUUAAGGGUUUGUGAGAGUAGCUCAGGUACUUCUUGCACUUGUUUUCCUUUCAAUCAGCAGCAAUUCCCCCCUAAGGGCAUCUUUAUGACAUCCUCCGUGGUACGAACACGUUUGAUUUAUGCUCGUCGGAAGUGGUGCUCCAGUUUGGGUUUACCAAAGUGGCAGCGUGGCAGGAUUUUCGGAGGGGUGUUGCAAGUUUAGCGCAUGUGUCUUUGUACAUGGAGAUAUUCGCUGUGGUGGUGCAUGAAGUUGUUGAAGACUUGGCCACAGUUUUUUUGAGAAGUUUACAACAGUAUCCUAGUAUCCUGUCGAAGAACGGUAACGGUCUGAAGUAACUUAGCUAAAAUCCAUAGAAUAUUGCGUCGCUGUUUCUACGAGUGCAGUGUAUCAUUUAAUUUUUAUCGAAUUAUACACACUUCACUUGAACAGCAAACUAAACUGAUUUGGAUGACAUUUCUCCAGCCUGAAGAACUCAUCCUCGCAGCAAAACUCAUCAGUGCUGAACACCAAGCCAGGGCUGUUGCAAGCAACUGGAGUCCUCAGAUCAAAGAUCAAGAGAUUCAAGCACCUUUCAGACUAUCUUCAUUUCAAAAAGUAACGGUCGUGAGCUGAUCAAAAGCAGCGAUUGGUGAGCAAGCCAUAUCCACUGGAAAAACACUUAUACUUCGGAGGGAUACCAUUAGCGACUAGAGCUUCGGUGGUUAAAACAAGCCCUGUAAUUCUGAAUUGAUGUAAGCAUACACAAAUUAUAUGCAAAAUACAUACUGGAUAACUGUACUUUUUUUAUCAUAUCAAUUUGGGAUCUUGGAACAUUUUUUGAAGCCUAGUUGACUUUGUUAUUUAAAAUCUGAGCUGGUUAUUCACUCCAAGAUUUAAAGAAAAUGAAGUGUAGUAGGCUUGAAUUUGAUAAUAGGAGUUGGGUAUACUGCUUUAGUAGGCUUGACUUUUACUGAUUGAUGGAUGAUAACAAAAUGUAUUAAAAUGAAUUAAUAGAUCAGUUGCGAGAAGAUUCUGCCGGCUGCAUGCCUGCUGCCUGCCUGCCCCCCUCUCUGUUAAAUAGGGGCAAGUAAGUGGUUGCAUAAAGAGACUGUUGUUGCCAACCGAGAAGUCAUCACUCAAAGCUCAAAAACUUUCACUGUCAUGCAGGAAGAUGCAAAAUGAUUUCUUUGAGCCAUCAGAUCAAAUGACUGAUAUAGAAGACGUGUGGUUGAGCUGUGAUGAGAGUAUCGUUCCAUCGUCCAUUGCAUCGCUGCCAGGUUUGAAACGUCUUGGAAUUUUUAGGCCAAGCAUGAUACUUAACGAUGCACUGUGGUCCACAAUCACAGCCAGGGCGCAUUUCCCAGGCUGGAAGAGCUAAACUGCCCGGAAGGAAUGAAAAUUCCACCUUGGCUUGAGGACUGCCCCAAUCUCAAGAGACAUAAGUCUUAAUUUCCGAAGCAUUUUGUUAUACGAACGUCUGUAGUUUGACAUAUUUCUCCUCUAAAUCAAUAUAUACAAAACUGCGACUGCACCACUAUUCUCCCACCAGGAGAGCUUCGCCUCUCACGUCCCUGGCAAUCUCUACCACCUCGGGUUUGCUCCUUGUCGAUUCCAAUUCUUGCUGAGCUGCUACCUCGGUUUUGCUCACAGCAGCACCACCUUUGCCGGCUCUUAUCCUCGCCAGGAAACCUCUCACGAGAGCCUGCAUUUUCGUCGCAGCGCCCUGGAUGUACACGGCCUGGAUCCGCUUCUCACGCUCGAUGCGCAGAGUGAGAGGCAACCCCUGCGUUAAUCCGAGCCAAACGUAAGUAUCACAAGCUUGGAAUAGCAGCUACUUACAGUUGGUCCGAUCUUAUACAGCGUCAGCGUUUCCAGCAGCUCCUUGAAAGGGAUUCCUUUGUUUGGAACUCGAAAACUCAUCACCUCGUAUUCUAUUCUCAUGUACCUGAGCAGAACAAAGAAAAAAACGAGUGAGAGACAAAGAGAGAUUGGGAGGAUUCCGUAAACACACGCCAGACCAUUGGGUCGCGGACUUGUAGCGCCGGCCCAGCGGGUCACCGAGAGCGUUUACAAAUCGUCGCAGCUUGUGCAUGCCAAUGUAUCCCGUAGCACUGGACGAUUGUAAAGUUAGUUCCACAAGGACUUGAACGUAAGUAAGUGGCUUACUUGGGAUCGAAUGGUUCUUGGCUCCACAAGUUUCGAUAUGCUAACAGGUCCUCCGGCAUAACCACCGAGGUUCUACGGGCUUUCCUCAGCAAAGCCUGGAUAAUAGAAGCUUUUCCUUUCGCCCUGGUACAAAAGCUUUUGCAGAAGAGGAGGCAUUACGGAAGCAAUGAAAUCGCCUUCAAGCUUCAAGCUUCUUCAGCUUUUGAUCUUCGGAAGUGGUAAGCAUCUCCCUGCUUCUGUUUUCUGUGUUCACUCAAUCGUCGUUACCAGGAACCGAAGCAACAAGGAUUCGUCUCUAGAACGCAUGUGCAUUCCCCGUUUGGCCUGCGUGGUUACCAAACUCCGGUCAUCCGCAGCUGGGAAAGGGAGGAUCAAAGCUAGACUCAUGGCAACUCUUUGACGUUUAUGCUUCGACGGGAUGGUCAGGCAAGUUCUGGGGGCGCCCCAAUUGUCAGUUUGACACAGUUCUAGGCACAGGCUGCUGCGAAACAGGAGAUUGUUCAAACGCAAUCGGAUGCAAUAGCACUUAUUCGCCCCCGGCCACCACAGUCGAGUUCAAGCUCCAUCGCGAUUUCAUCGACGAGUACAGCGUCUCUCUGGUCGAAGAUACAACUUGGCGGUGAAAGUUUCAAGCAGCAAUCCGUUUUGCCUCAGUGGUGGCUGCAGCUGCGACUUGAAUUCGCGGUGUCCUUCGGAGCUGCUGGUUUGGAAUUCGAGGGGAACUCCAGUUGCUUGCAACAGUCCUUGCUUAGCGUUUGGCGCUGAUGAGUUUUGCUGCGAGGAUGAGUUCUUGGGAGGAUAAAUGCCAUCCAAAUCAGUUCAGUUUGCUGUUCAAGGAGUGUUGUCCUCAGGCAAAGACUUACCCGUUUGAUGAUACUAAUGUUCCGCUGUUUUGCACUGCAGGGUCUGAUUAUCUCAUCACCUUCUGUCCCUCUUGGUAGAAGGUUAAUGUAAAGCUGCUUUAAGGCUUAAAUGUGUUUAUUUAAAUUAAGCAAAAUCUGAAAAAGCUAAACAAAUUAAAAGUGGAUUAAUUAAGUGUUUAGGGUUUAAGAUUUAUAAGUCAAUGAUUUUAGUUUUAUUGUCCGGCAUUUUCAAAAACAAAAAUUAAUCUAUCCUCAUUUUGGUUCAUUAACUCUAGUUUUAGUUGCUAGAAAUUCGAUGAAUAUUCAAAUUUAAUAAGCUUUAUCAUUUUGAAUGAUAGAACAUAACAUCACACAAAGUUUUAUUUGUUGGAAAUCUAGAUGAAGGGUCACAAUUCGAUCAUCAUUGCAUUAUAAUAAGUAUAUACAGCAAUUAACAAAAUGUCACAACUCUUAAUUACCAUGAUUGUUGAUGUGUCCAUUCCACAUGAUACACUCAUGUCAUAAGAGGACUUAAAUCCUCAUCUGACAUGAGCCUGGGAAAAUCUUUAUGACAUGCAUCUUUCAAGAAACUGUAUCUAUGCUCUGCAGAUUGUGGGCAAUUCAUCUCUCAUUGCUGCUCUCUCCCUCUUUCUAUUAGGGCACCUGAUGGGUUCCUACCCAAUUGGAUGUCACUGUUCCUUUGGCUGACAUUUCCCCAUGUGACCAGUCUGAGCACUCCGUGGCCCUGGCAUUUCUCUCAUGCCACCAAUUGCAAUCUCAGCACCAUCUCGUUCUCGGCUUCUAGCACAUGGGAUGCAAACAAUCUACCAGAAAAGGGAAUCCUCCAUUGCCUAGAUCCUCUGUUAACUCAAAUCACCAGGCCAGAAUCUGAGUUGUUCCUCGUGCUGAAAGCAUAAUCUGAAUGCUUUCAUCUUUCCACCACAUCUGGUGGUUCAUCUGGAUCGCUACCAUCUUAUUUCUCUAUAGGGCUCUCUGAAAAUCAGCAAAACUCAGUCUCUGAUACCAUGUAGGAAUUCUGGAAGAAGUCUCUGAUGCAUUAUAAUAAGUAUAUUCAGCAAUGAACGAAAGGUCACAACUCUUAACUAGCUGAUGUGUCCACUCCACAACACUAGGAGGACCUAAAUACUCAACAUUAUACUGAAAUUCAGGUCUGACUGUCUUCGUAGGACUGGCCCCCAUUAUUUUUAUUAUUUCCAUGCUUAAGUUUCCUUAGCAUGGACAUGUGAUUCUAGUUGGUGUAGCAGUGAAGUUAGUUUCACAGGCCCUUGGAACGAGUACAGUUGUUCCACCAAUCAUGAUGGGGUAUGGAUUAGGCCGAUUGCACUGAGUUCUGUAUACUGAAGCAUAGUUCCUCUGGAAGAUGAUUUGGUUUGGGCUUAAGGUUGCACCAACCUGGAAAGUACGAGAGAUGUUGUUUGAACCCAUAACAUUCACCUGAUUCACUUGAUAUGAGCAACUUGUAUCAUAUAUCUGAACCCCGACUGCACAAAAAUCCACGCAUCGCCCAAUGACAGUGAUUCCUUGCUCAAAGUCACUGCGAGAUGCUACAAAAGCUGCAGACUCCCCAGAUCCCCGCCCAACAUUUCUAUCGUAAUCGUUGUAGAUUGACACCUCAAUCUUCUGACUUGUGACACAUAGGAACAAUGUCUGGGCAUCCAGCUUGAUGGAAUAUGAGCACUAAGUUGAAAUAUAAGCCAAAAAAAGUUGAAAAAUGUUAGUUUGGAUUUGUGAAGGAUAUGAUAAAGAAUUAUUUACCGUCCCCGAAGCUGAGCAACCAGGACACAUCAGGAAAUUUGAUCUUGAAUUGUACAUGCAUGUUGUUGGAAAGAGGAAAAACUGCCGAUUGAAGCCAAUGGCAAAAUCACUAGCGACGUUGAAACCGGGACACUCAGUGAGCACUUCACUUGAAAAACGGAAGAAGUACUCAUUUUCCAACAUUCCUUCACGAGAAACCAUCACCAAGCCUGGAACCAUUCUUUGAGGGGAGACGUUUAUAGUGAUAAUGCAGUAGUCACAAGGUGCCAUGACUGUUGCAGAAUUCCCUCCACAAGAAUCGCCUUUCAAGCCAGUGACUUGGGCAGAGUCGCCAUUGAGAUUUGAGAGCUUGACUGAAGCACUCUGUUCAUUGCAGCUGAUACGAAGACCGGUUGAGAAAUCAUAAAAUUCAAUGGUGUAAUUGCAAAGUUCUACAGCUGCAGAUGGAAAUAGUAUGAGAGAAGAGCAAAUCAUGAACAUAAGAAGAGUAAUAUCUUCCAUUUUUGAAUUAUUGUAAUUUAUCAAAAUAGUUUGCCCCUAUUUAACAAAGAGGGAGCAGGCAUGCAGCUGGCAGAAUAUUCUCGUAACUGAUCAAAUUCAUUUUAAUACAUUUUGUUAUCAUCCAUCAAUCAGUAAAAGUCAAGCCUACUAAAGCACUAUACCCAACUCUUAUUAUCAAAUUCAAGCCUACUACACUUCAUUUUCUUUGAAUCUUGGAGUGAAUAACCAGCUCAGAUUUUAAAUAACAAAGUCAACUAGGUUUAGCUCCACAAACUUCCCAUGAGACAUGCAUCACAAUCCUUGCCUGUGGCAGUGCCACGAAUGAAAAGUUUUUUGCCUUCCUCACUUGCAAAAGAAAAUAAAGUUGGUUUAGCAUUUAACACAUUAGUGUUCUUUGCCUAACUUUGCUAUUUGAAUUUCUUCCCAUGGAUUUUAUAGCCCACAUUUGGCCACCACAAAAAAUGUUCUAAGAUCCUAAAUUGAUAUGAUAAAAAAAGUACAAUUAUCCAGUAUGUAUUUUAUAUAUAAUUUGUGUUGUGAGGGCCAAGUGUACGGCAACAAUGCCAUAUACUAAUAUUAGGGUAGUGGGAUUUUGGUAGCUAUUGGAUUGGUUUCAAUCCGGACCACUUGCUCCUGUAUAUAAGCUAGGGUUUUUGGGCUAAUUAAUAUGCACAUUCCAUAUUCCAUGCACUCACAUUGGUGGAGAUGAGGGGCACUUUUGAUUGUCCAUGGGGAGUGUUUAGAUUUGGGAUUUUGGUUUAGAUCUAGCUUUUGGAUCGUCUAAAUUUAGUUUUUUCCAUUUCUUUUCUUUUGUUCUUUCCUUUCAGGAUUUUGGUUUAGAUCUAGCUUUUUGCAUUGUUUAGAUUUACCAUUUCCUUCCAGCUUUUUGUCAUUUAUCUUUCUUCGUUCGUCUUCAUGGCAGAUCAACAAUCUCCUCCUUUGACUCUGGAGCAACAGUUAGUACAAUUGCUUGAUGCUAUGCGCUUGCAAUUGAACAACCAAACUUAGUUGAUGGCGGCGUUCACGGCACGUGGUACAACUCCUCCUACUCUUGGUGCCAAUCCUCGCGUUCGGCUAGAGUUCUUUUGCGGGAAUCCUGGGGAUGAUGUGUACCAUUGGUUCGAUCACUUCACAGUGAUUGCCACAUAUCAUUCUUGGGAUGAUGCUCGAUGUUUGCGUGAGUUUCCCAUGUGUCUUCAAGGGACGGCAUUGCAGUGGUACAAUGGUUUGAGCGCAGCCACUUGUGGGGAUUGGAGUGUUCUCCCGGACGUCUUCAAACGUGCCUUCAAACAUGCCGACGACUGUGACAAUGUCUUCUAACAAUUGCAUCGUCUUUGCCAAGGGCCAUCUGAGUCGGUGAUGCAAUUUGGUGUUCGUUUCCGAAGUCUUUUGCUUCGUGCGAAGCCAAAUAUGUCGGAGCGGAUCAAGCUAGGAAUGUUGUGGCCAACACUUCGUCAAGAUCUUGUUGAACUUGUGCAUGCACUUGCUCCCGCCACCCUUGACGAUGCUCUUCGCUUGGCACAACGUUAUGAGAUGUCGCCUCUUCCACUUCUCGUUGCACAUCCUUUAGCUCCACUUCCUGUGGGUGAUGGUCAUGUUCCAAUGGAGGUUGAUGUUGCUGCUGCUCGAGUCCAAGGCCAAGGGUGAGGACGUGGUCGUGGCCGUGAUGUUCGCUCUAGGCAUGUGAUGAAGUUGGUUAUACUUAUCGGCGUUGUCAACGUUUUCCGGAUUGGUGACCUCUAUUUCCUGGGUGGAGACCUUGGCAUUAGUAACGUCCCGUUGGUACUGCUGUAGUGGAAGGUUUGGACGCCGAGAUGCAUCCAGGAAAUGAGGAGUCGCGCGAGUAAUGGAGGGACCUUGCGUGAAUAAGUCAGUGACCCCUCCAUCUUUCUUUCGGGAGUAUCAUCAAGGGGUUCACUCAGCACCAGUUCAUCCAGUGUUUACUUUCCAAGCUCGUCUUUAUAACAAGUUGUCUCCUAUUAUUCUCUCCGUGUUGGUUGAUAUAGGUUCAAGUUUAUCUUCUAUUGCUCGACUUGUUGCCACACAUUGUUGUCUACACUUGCGUCAUGCGGCGAAACUAGUUUUCAUUCUUUAUGGCAAUGGCUGUACACAUGCAUGUGCACGGGAUGAGGCAGACCUGGUUGUGCGUGUGGGCGAUCUCGAGCUUGAGUUGCAGUCGUUGCAGGUGGUGCCAAGUCAAGCUUUUGACCUCAUUUUUGGUAUGGAUUGAUUGCAGCGCAAUCAUGCCAAGUGUGACUUUGAGGCUUCUCCUUCUUAUCUCAUACUUCCUUAUGUUUCAUCCAUUCCUCUCACUUCCUUACCUCUUCAUCCCUCUACUUCUACUUCUGUUUCUAUUACUUUUGUUCCCCCAUUAUUUCCUCCUGUGUUUCUAUCUUGUUCUGCUCUUAUCAUCUAGAGCCAAGAUUGCCACACGUCAUCCGAUUCCAACUGGGGAUGCUCGUCCAAUCAAGGUACCUGUUCGUCGUUGGUCACCAAAGGAGAUUAAGAUUUUACGUGCAAAUGUCAAGGAGAUGUUGGAGAAGGGUGUUAUUCGGAAGUUGCGGAGUCCUUGGGCAUGUGAACCUCAUCUUGUGACGAAACCUGAUGGGAGUAUUCGUUUCUGCAUUGACUAUCGUCCGUUUUACUACGUAACGAUCCCAGAUGUGUACCCUCUUCUUCACACUGCUAAUCUUUUGGAUCGUCUGGGGUGAAGUCGUUGGUUCACCAAGCUAGAUUUUGCUUCUGGGUACUGGCAAGUACCGAUGGCCGAAGAAGAUAUUCUUAAAACUGCUUUUCGUACACUAUUUGGUUUGUAUGAGUUCUUGGUGAUGCCGUUUGGUUUGAAAAAUGCUCUAGCAACUUUUCAACAGAUGAUGGACGAGGUUCUUUGCGAUAUACCAGAGAUGACUGCUGACUUCAUUGAUGAUGUCUUGAUCCACUCGGAGGGGACGUAGAAGGAGCACGUUCGUGAUGUUUGUAAAGUGUUGGAUCGGUUACGUGAUGUUGAUUUAAAGCUGAAGCGGUCGAAGUGCGUGUUUGGAUCCAAGGACACAACUUAUCUUGGGUACCGUAUUUUUCGUGAGGGUUUGCAAGUUGAUCAUGACAAACUUGUGGCUGUUCUAAAGUUCCCUACUCCGAAGUGUGUGAAUGAUGUGCAACGCUUCUUGAGCAAGGUGCAGUAUCUUGGACGUUUUGUGGAUCAGCUUUCUGAUCGCACUGCACCGUUGUGAGUGAAUAUGACUUCGGGUAUCGAAAGUUACCUGUCAGCUAGUCCUUUCGGAUAUUCUUUCCUUACUGCCACGACGGCAGGAGAUCGGUGUUGCUGGACCCGUUAUCAAUUUCCCACUUGAGCUAGUUGAGAAACUGGUCAAUGACCGUGUACUUAAAUCGGAUAAACAUAAGGUAGGAACUCCUAUGUGUUUUUAGCUGAGCAUACUUAGCCUGGUUUGAGAAACUCCUGUCUUUGGCUUGCACUUGCUAGUAUCAAGAACCCUCAUGAUAUUGAGAUUGGUCCCUCAACAUCGCUAGAUGAUAGCUUACCGUGUUUGCCAAACACCCUUGCUAUCAUGCCCUUUGUGUUAGUCUCAUUCGGUCUUAAAUGCUAUUUAUGAAAAGUGUCUAGAUUUGCUCAUUUGGCAUAUCUACGGAAUGUAAAGAUUGUGUUGAACACAAUAGUGUUCGUCCCGUGUCCAAAUUCGCAAUCUAAUGCCAUUCCAUAUUUAGUAAGUUUCGAGCUUGUCCCAGAGAUUAACUCCUGAUACUAAGGGAGGCUUGGGGUGAAAGCCCAAAGCGUGUGUUCCUUAAGGGGGGGGGCUAUGGGGGGUUCCAAAAGUAUAGUAGGGAUAGUGAGUAGGUCGGGCAUGGCCGACCAACCUAAGGCAUAGUCUAGCUCUCGCUUGCGUGCCUGUCCUUGUUCUGUGUUCGGCUUGGGUCUAAGCCCAAGUUCCAUACCAUGCUAGUUGGUGGGGUACUCAUAUCCUCGCGUUAGGCCACCUGUAUGCCGAAAUAGCGCCAAACUUUGUUUGGCUCCAUUUUGUGUGCUGGUCCUGGCAUUGGGAUGCUGGAUACUCUAGGACUAUUCCAAGUCGCUUCGUGCCCCUGUCUCUUCGCUCCUUGGGCUACAUGCUCGGGAGUUGCUCCAUGGUUCGGUUCCAUCACUCCUUGGCUCCAUGCUUGGGAGUUUUGCACCGUUCCUUCGUUCAGUGGCCCAAGGCCCUGAACCUCAGGUUCCACACCACUGUCCUAUGGACAUGUGGCAUGUGACACAUGGCAUCUGUCACGUGGCAUAAAGGGGGUUUAGGUUCCGCUUCGUGGUGUUAUCCUAUGGUAAAUCACCAUAGGAUAAAGGGUAUUUGGUAUCAGAGGAUGAGUCUCAGCGAGUACUAUACAAUGAGAUUGGGCAAUUAAUCUUGUUGCAUACGCAGAGAUGAAAACAAUGAUUUGAGUGGGUAUACGUUUGCGUGCAAAAGCUUCGCAAUUGUUCCUUAGGUAUGGAUUUUGGUUACCUUUUCAUACUAGAGUAAUGAGCUUUCGCUUGGGCUCAUAAGUUGGAUGUAAGGUGUUCUGUUUUGCACGAGUUUGCACUUGGGCUCGUGAGUGAGGCACAUUAGCAACUCGAGGUUACACUUUGAGUUGGCAAGAUUACUAUUAACUUCUAUGAGUUGUUCCAAUGGUUUUAUGAGUUGUUCCUUGUGCCAUGGGACAAAGUAAACCUUCCCUGGGUUUGCAAAAGAGUGGCGAAUAAGCUGGUCCGUAGCUGUUUAGCAUGGCACUAGUGGAUCCUUCCUAGGCAUGAUUAUAAGAGGGAUCAACAAGACUGUAGGGAUUAGUCUAUUGGUUCAAGUAGUCAUUGCCGUGCUCUCUCAUAAACUUUUCUUGGAUUGGACUGAAGGCAGUGCAAACACAAGCUUAAGGUUUAAUCAAAAUUGAGACCGAAAAGAGAGUCGUCAGGGACGAAGGAUCAAACAUGUAAAUCAUCUUCUCUUCUUGAAGAGAUGAUUUGCAAUGAAGUGUAACUCAUUGCUUGUAUUCACAUCAUGCAAUCAAGAGUCCUUACUUUAAUGUAUAUUGGAAAUGAUGGUCUUUCAAAUAGUGAGUUGUGGGAUGGAUAGUGGUGAAGCAUUAAACCAUUUUGUCUAGGCUUGCUAUUGAAGAUGUGGGUUGCAAUGCUCAAUUCUUUUCCGGGGAACUUUGCUAUUGCUCCUUGAGUAGCUUGGUGUUGGAUUAGCUUUGAGUUUGAUCAGAAAGAGAGUGGCAUGAGCUUGUCCGUGUUGUGAAUAAAAGUUAAUGGUGUUGGGUGUUGUAAAUCUCUAUUGGUGGAGUGUGGUAUUUAUGUUGUAUUUUGUCGAGUCGAGUUAACACUUGAUACUCACAUAAACCUUUGUAAUAAUGACAUGGGUGUUGCUCGUGGUGUUGCUUAAUUGAUGAUCAAGUUAUUGUGAUUUCUUAUAUCAUAACCAUGUGAUAAUGAACAAUGUGUUUACAAAGUUGCUUGGUUAAACGAUGAUCAACCCUAAAGUGGUUGAUAGUCUACUUGCACAUAAUAGCAUUGUAGUAGCUUCGACUGGAUUCUCGAUGGUGGUCCAUUAUGCUAAGCUUAAGUUGGUACUUUGUUUCCUUGAGGGUUUACCCAUUAAGUGUUGGAAAGGGUUAUAGCAUUCACUUGCUAUAGCUUGUUGGUUGAUCUAUUAGCACUUGGAGUAGAUUGUUGGAUGGAGAAGGUGUGGAGUUGAGGCAUUGACAUCACUAGCACUGGUGUUAGUGAAAGUGGCAUUGUUAUUUUGAGUGAUGAGGAGUUCUUCUUAGACCUUGAUUUUCAUGUCAUUUUUCUUGUUAGUGUUUUGGCUUCACAUUGGAUCUUGAAAGUGGUUGAAGAAGAGUGUUAGUACAAUGUGGAUGUCUGAAGAUGUGGUCUUUGUGAUCAAGCCUUAGAUGUUCAUUUUGCACUUUGCGAAUGUCGGUGUUGGAUGUCGGAAGUAUGGGCAAAGAUGUUCGAUACUUUAGCAUAUUGUUGGGUCAUGAGAAUUGGUGUUGAAGUGAACCUAUGUGAAGUUGUUAGUAGGAGGAAGUUGGUUGAGUCUUGAAAGUUUGCAUUCCUAAACUGAGAGUCAUUCUUUCUCUAGGACGGAAAUUUUCUACAAAUUUUCUUAGACUUUUCUAAUGGCUGAUCUAUUGAUCACUUUGCUCGAAAACCAUUCCGUUUUCGUAAGCCAAUACAAACUAGUGAAAGGGUUGGAGUUGAUUUCAAUUAACUUAGACCUUAAUAGGUGGUUUAUAUGAUGCGACCCGAAAGGGAUGCUAACUUUUAGGGCUAAGGCAAUUGAGUUGGAUAGAGUCUGGAGUUGGUAUAGAAAAGUGGCCAUUGCACUUUUCUAGAAAGGUGGCUCUUAUACCUUUCUUCUGUAGCAUUAUGCUUGGUGGCAGGUUGCACCUUGCAUUUCAUUAUACUCUAUGAGAGUAGUGAGCUCUCACUGAUCUUGACUUAGUCUCGGGGUUUUGCGCCUUGGCUGAGGAUAGUGAUGUCCAACUUAGUUGUUUGAGGUUGAGAUGUUGGUACCUGUACUAUAGCCUUGUUCAUGAGGAGGUUGUGUACCAAUAUGUGUCCAUCUCAUGGUCUUCACUUUAGUUUGAUUAUGCAUAGCUAGCCUCUUCAAGGCAUGCUCGGAGCUAUAGGCUAAAUGCAUUAGUGAGCUUAUUGCGGUUGAGUUGGAUUCGAGUGGUCAUUUAGUUCAUGCUUGUCACAUAAGAUCUCUAGAGUUGGGAUGAUACAAANNNNNNNNNNNNNNNNNNNNNNNNNNNNNNNNNNNNNNNNNNNNNNNNNNNNNNNNNNNNNNNNNNNNNNNNNNNNNNNNNNNNNNNNNNNNNNNNNNNNUUCGUGCAUUUGCUAGUUAGCAAUUGGUAUAAAUGUUUAAAUGAACUGAGUGGCAACUUGAGUUAAUUGUGUUCUAGACGAGAUUUUUUAGUAGAGGUUAAGCUUUGAGCUUUUCGUUGAAAAGUGAUUUAGUCGUGGACUAUGCUAACUCUACAAGUAGAAGAGUUAGUGAUUGGUAUUGAAGUGAUUGAAUCCUUGUUGGAUUUCAAUUGGGAUAUAUCGAUCAUUGAUAAUUCUUCUUGUGCUUGUUAUUAAGUGAGUUAUGUCUUGCUAGAGAUGGAUUCAUGGCGGAUCGAUUAGAUGAUCACUUGUUGAGCAUAGCUUCAUUAUGCUUAGCUUUUGGAUUGAUGCAAAAAUGCUCUUCAUUAGCUUUGUCAUUAUGAAAUUUGGCUUAUGGAUAUGUUGAGGAGGAUAUUGUGGGUUAUACCAUGAUUUCUUCUUUAGCAUUGAAGUUAAUUCAUGCAAGACUUGUGAUCAUUGUUAGGCAAGACUUGGCUAUAAGCUUUUUCAAGCUUUUGGUCUCUUGAGUUUUUAUGCUCAUUGUUCCAUUAGUUAGAAGUUGUUGGGGAAGGCAUUUUGGCUCAUUAGCUUCGAUGUUGAAGUUGGUUUUUGCAUCUAGCAAUCCUUGGUAAUGAUUGACUAUUAUCUAGGAUAGUUGAUUGUCCUUGUCGAAAGGUUUUGCUUGAUUGUUGUUGAUAUAGAAUGAUUUGCUAUUCUUCGGGAUGGUGAAUUCUUUCUUCAAUGAUGAUUUUGCAUAUCUCUUAUUAAUGGGAUGAUUGAUGAUCUUUCAUGAUGGUUCAUUAUUCUCUUUAAUGGCUUAUGGCUUUUCGCAAUCCCACAUGUUCUUUGUGGUUUGCCUUGGAUUGGUCUCUUGGGUUUGAGAUAUUAGUAGGAUGUUGCUGACACUUGUUUAAACAACUUGAGUUCCUUGGCAUUAUUGAUUGGGAUCUAUUUGGAUUAGCUAGUGUGAUAGUUAGCAUGAACGAGUGUUUGUUUGUUUCGCAACAUUCAUUCUGUUCUGUUAAUUGUUGCUAAGGUUGGUUUUGAUAGAUUCAGAUGUUAUUUCCUUUGGGUGAUACAUUCGUGAGCAUUGUGUUUGCCAGUCGAUAAUACUUUGUGAUCUUUUAGUUGUCUUUUAGUAAGUUGUUUAGUAUCCUGUCUACAAUCUUCGGUAGUUAAGCUUUCUCAUUGAGUUUACUUGAUGAUAUACUUGCUAUUGAAUUUUGUUCGAUGGUGAAUCCUAUGUUUUCUAAUGAUAAUGAUCUUGGUUGAUCCUAUACUAUAUAUUAUAAUACUUGUUUAUCGGAUGAUAACUUACUUGGAAUACUUUUGUGUUCUCAUUUAAGAUUUAAUCACUGAUAAUUAAGACUCUCAGAUAUCAUUGUUUAUGACUUUGAUAUUGUCCAUUUAUUGAUCUUUGAGUUUGGGCCAGUAUAGGCAGACUGGCUUCAGCACUUCGUGUGCAUGCUGAAAUCUCUAGUCAUGGGGUAGCUACUGUCGACUGGUCAUAUCACUCGCCUCUCUGUCGAUGUUUCUUAUGUCAUUAAAAGGGCGUGACUGUGUAAACAACUCUAAUUGCCUGUUUACAGUAGUCUAUCUAAACCUUACCGACAGGUUUGGUUUCUUUGUUCAUAAGAGUUGGGGCCUCUGGCUUCUCUCUCUAUAUCUUUGCGGGCAGGGGCAUAUCACACUUUUGUAGCUAGGUGACAUCCAGAGCAGCAAGGGUGGCUAACUCCAUUGGUCAUUUCCUUGUCAGCGACAACCGGAAGGUGUCUAAGUUGGUAGCGCAUCCGCGUUAGACAAAGAGGUUACCCCUAACUCAUUUAAGUUGGUGCAUUUCUCACAUAGUGUGAGUACUGUGAACUUUUUCUAGAGUUGUUUCCUUAGUGGUAUUCUAGACUCGAGUAUGCAUCGACGAAGACGUCGAUCUUCCCUAGGGGGGGAGAGUGUCGCGAAUGUGACUUCGGGUAUUGAAAGUUACCUGUUGGCUAAUCCUUUUCGAUAUUCUUUCCUUACUACCACGACGGCAGAAGAUCGGUGUUGCUGGACCCGUUAUCAGUUUCCCACUUGAGCUAGUUGAGAAACUAGUCAAUGACUGUGUACUUAAAUCGAAUAAACAUAAGGUAGGAACUCCUAUGUGUUUUUAGCUGAGCAUACUCGGCCUGGUUUGAAAAACUCCUGUCUUUGGCUUGCACUUACUAGUAUCAAGAACCCCCGCGAUAUUGAGAUUGGUCCCUCAACAUCGCUAGAUGAUAGCUUAUCGUGUUUGCCAAACACCUGUACACGACUAAUUUUUCCAUUCUACUUUAGUCACUUAACCACACCUCCGACCACUUGGAGGAGUCUCAUUCACAACCUCCAUCAGUCCAAUUCAGGACUUGGGACUUGCUAGCCCCGAGAAUGGCAUCCAUGCCACUCAACAUUUGCACUUGGUCCAAGUGCUCCACGUGUCCGAUCCCAUGACCGACACUCAAAGGUACUACCGACAUGGCAGCUUGUUAUGCUAAGGCCAUGCCCAAUCACCUUUGCCACACUGGUAGUCCAAUACCACUUGCAUCACAGUCUUGGCUCUCCAAGACUAGGCAAACCAUCCGUGAGUGGUCAUCUCAGAUCCACUCCUUAGCAUCCUUAGGAUGCCCACCGACAAGGGGAAUAGCCUUCCCCAAUAUCCCUCUGUCAGUCCCCACUAAGUCCCUUUUUGCCCUUGGCCGUGUUUGCCAACACUACCACUGGAUCGAGGCCCACAGGCCCGACCACUAAGUCCCACGGUCCUCUGGGACUUCCUCACCGCACGACUGUGUCCUUGGUCACUGCCCCAGAGGACUACUCCUCUUCCUUUCCACAGUCUGGGCCUUUGGGAUAACAUUUCGGAACACUGUGGCCUUACGCGAGCCACCUGGGUACUCUCCCCGCCUUCCGCCCUUGGGUGCUCUAGCCAUGGGCUUAGAGUGAGGUUCCGUUGAGCCACGCCUGGUAUCCGAGUAGGUAGUGCCACCCACACUUGGACUAGGAGCAUCGGCCAGUCGAUCUCCCGGGGGAACUAGAGCCGGCUCUUGAACACUUCACCAAGCUACCUCGCUUGUCAGUCCGUGUUCACUCUAGUCUUGGACUUCCCAGUGGUCAGCUCAUCACCCAACACUGGGUCUGGCCUUCCUGGGCCAAACUGGCCUUUCCUGGCCAAACUGGCUCCACUGGGCUCCAACCCCCACACUCUCCCUACUAUACUUUUGGAACCCCCCGCAANNNNNNNNNNNNNNNNNNNNNNNNNNNNNNNNNNNNNNNNNNNNNNNNNNNNNNNNNNNNNNNNNNNNNNNNNNNNNNNNNNNNNNNNNNNNNNNNNNNNCGGACUCGGACUCGGUCUCGGUCCCGGUUUCGGACUCGGACUCGGUCUCGGUCUCGGUUUCGGCCUCGGUCUCGGUCUCGGUCUCGGGUCCAUCUCGGACUCCAUCUCAGACUCCAUCUCGGGUCCAUCUCGAACUCCACCUCGGGUCCAUCUCGGACUCCAUCUCGGGUCCAUCUCGGACUCCAUUUCAAGUCCAUCUCGGACUCCAUCUUGGGUCCAUCUCAGACUCCAUCUCGGGUCCAUCUCGGACUCCAUCUCGGUCCAUCUCGGACUCCAUCUCGGACUCCAUCUUGGACUCCAUAUCGGACUCCAUCUCGGACUCCAUAUCGGACUCCAUCUCGGACUCCAUCUCGGACUCCAUAUCGGACUCCAUUUUGGACUCCAUCUCGGACUCCGUAUCGGACUCCAUUUCGGGUCCAUCUCAGACUCCAUCUCGGACUCCAUAUCGGACUUCACUUCGGGUCCAUCUCGGACUCCAUAUCGGACUUCACUUCGGGUCUAUCUCGAACUCCAUCUCGGACUCUAUAUCGGACUCCACUUCGGGUCCAUCUCUAGAGCCUCGCUUAUGGCUCGCUUCGUGCUCAUUCCUCGAGCACUUUGUUGGGAGUUCCACUCCCGCUCUCGACCUUUCAAGUCGGAGCUUUUAGUCCAAACGUGUUACACUCGUUUGGCUUUCGCUUCGGCCACUACCACGUGGCACCCUUCCAGCUCCACUUUGGGGCCUAGGGAUUUUGUGUCUCACAACUCCACCACCCAUAAACAAAGUUCGAUGUCCUCAUCGAAUGGUGAACCAUUUUAUAAAGUAACACCCACAUGUGUUACCAUUUCCAUCUUUGGCGCGUAGCUAAUAUUUGUCAAUGGUUUGACAUUGAAGGCUCACCAUGCCUUCUCCAUAUUCGUCAAUGGUUGGACAUUGAAGGCUCACCAUGCCUUUUGCAUAUUCCUCAAUGGUUUGACACCAAAGGCUCACCAUGCCUUACCUAUCCUCUAAGGAGGGUAGUCUCUCCAACUUAGAGGCUGAUUGGACCACAUAUAGUGGUUCUCUCCUUUUAUUGGUUUAGUUCUCGCUAAACCUUUUAGAGACCCUUCUCUAAGUCAAUCCCACUACUCCUUCUCGAGUAGUCUCAAUUUCCAUUUAUUGAACGUUUGCACCUUGGAACUUUUACUCUUUUGACUUUUGGAAGUCAAUUUCCUAGGUGUCUCCAACACCUUGCAUUGCACAGAUUGUGCAACUCCACUUCCCCAUCCUAGGAAGUUCAUUACUUGAGGGCACCAUCUAUUUCGUGCCACCUUGGGCACUAAGUUCCAUUUAUCAUACUUUGUGCUAGAGCUGUCCAUGGCCCUAUCAUUUGGCUACCUUACCGCUCUCUCCCUUGGAGCUUCCACUUUCGCCAAAUCGGAGCAAUUCGGAAUCCAUCCUUGAAAACACACUUCCUUUCCCGCAAUUUGUUAGCGUCCAACACAUUAGUGUUCCUCGCCUAACUUUGUCACUUGGAUUCCUUCCAAGGGAUUCCACGGCCCUAUCUUGGCCACUCAUCUUUUGCUCCUAUUCGUUGAUUGUUGCACCAAGCAACAUUGAAUCUCUACCUCCCUCCUUGAGGUAUUCUUUUGAUUCCAUAGCAAAGGCUCUACUUUGCCAAGACUAGGGUGUUCACCCCUAGUAAGUCUCUUUUAGCAUCUUCUGCUGUGGGCUCUAUCCACAGCCCAACUUUGUGACCCUCCUAUAGGUCUCUUUAGAGACUACUUUCCUUGGACACACUAUGCCAUCGCAAUGACAUAGCUCAUUUCCCUAAGGUGCUUUUCCCACUUGGUCACCUUGACCAAGCCACACCAUCAUCAAUAGUUCAAAUCAACACUUUGAACUAGGAACCUUAUUCCUUAACCCAAACAAGGACCUUGUCCUUAUUUAGCCACAAAAUCACCUAGUGAUCUCACCUCGGCACCUUAACAGGUUUGCCAAUAGGUACUAGGUCUUCCAGACCUUUAACUUGUUAAUUACAACCCCGGGGGCAUCCCCCACAUUUGGCGGUGCGCCCAAGCCAGCCCUUCCGGCCAAGGGUCCAUAGCAAUUGAGACUGGGUGUCCCCAUCUCAUUCACCACGUCCUUGGUGCCACUGGCACCAAAGUGUUUAAGUUAGAUAUGCUGAGCCACACUAAGUAAUCUAACCGUGCAUCACGACUCCGGGGCAUCCCCCGCUUAGCGGUGUGCCCAAGCCAAUAUCCUCAUUGAGAGUCCAUGACCACCGAAAUAUGAGUGUCCUCAUAGUCCAAACCAUCACCACGCCCUAGUGAUUUGGGACUCGAACCCAAGCACUAGAGGGUCGGGACUCGAACCCAACCUCCGUAUAUACAUCUACGGAAGGCAUCAUCCAAGAUGCCUGGCGUGACUCCCCACGCCGGUGCACCAACUUAUACUUGAAGCGCGCUAUAGAUCACAACUUAGGAACCUAGUUCCUCCCCACUGCCAAGUCCUCUCACUUGACAAGCCUGUGAUCAUGCAUGGACUCCUCCAUGCUUGGCCCCAUGGCCCACCCUUUUUGAAGUUAUCAACUUCAACUAGGGUAUUUGUUCCCCUGACUUGCCAAUCUCGCUUUGGCAAGUCCUCCGACCACUGUAACAUGGUUCCUGCACAAGCGUGAAAGCCCUUGAUCAUCGACUUUCGUUCAAAGCCUUCUCUUUGAACACUCGGGAACUACUUCCCUAACCUUGAUAGCCUUGCCUCAUGGCAAGCUUCAAGACCACGCUUCUGCUGCGCCAUUCUGAUUUCGCGCGUUCCUUGAACCAUUUACGCUUGGCCUUUCUAGGUACUAAGCUACCUAGAAUCCUCUUUGGGAACUUUGAAGGAACUCUGUCCCUUAGCUUGCUAAAGCCCCCCCUUUUUGCAAGCUUUUCAAUUACCAUAUAGUCUAACAUGGACAAUUCCAUAUUUUAGACUCUCCAUGGCAUCGCGGUUGCUAGCGGCAACACCCUCGAGCCCCCACUUGAUUCUCCACUCCCCGCUGGCAUAACCAACCUUGGUUAUGCCCUUCGAUUCCUAUGGUUCGGUUCUAUCCCCUUACUUCUUGCUUUUGGCUUCACACCUUUCCUUCGGUCAUUCUCCUCCAGACCAGGAGGAUAACUUUGCACUUUCUAUCAUGCCUUAGCAAAUAUUCUUAGGGAUGAACCUACCCGAUAGCCUAGGGAGUGGUUCCUCAAUCCAGAUAUGCUCACCCUAUAAUCCCACACACCGGGAUUACUUUGUUGCUUACGGGCCUUUGCAUGCCCAUCGCUAGCCUUGCCAAAAUUCCAUUUUUGGCUUUGUCCAAUUCGAGUAGACAGUCUUCUCCUGUCUCCGCCACCUUAGACAUUUGGAUAGCACCUACUAUCCAUCAUUCGCUAGGGACUUAGUCCCUUGGGCCUUAUCUAUUGCCCUCGCGACAUCAAACACCACCUCCUGGUGUUCUAGAGUGUUCGGGUGUCCCAAUGACGGCUUCCUUGACAAUGAGUAUUUCCUUUUAUGACAUUGACUUACUAUAUCGCAACAUAAGCAACUUAUCCCCCGUAAGGAUAUAUCCAACUUCCCUAUGCCAUUAAGAAGGCUUGGGUAGCUACCUCCUACCUGUUUAACCAAUUAUUUUGCACCUCUUGCUUAGUUGCCUCGUAGUUGUCAAGUCCUACAACUCAUUGCUGGUGCUUUCACACCUCCAUCAUUAUCUGGGUCACCACACUCUAAUUGCAUGCUCUGCAGCUUAGGCUAUGCCAUUCCCAUUUCUAUUGGGAUUCCUUUGGCAAGGGGUUCUCAUGACCCCACCAACAUAACCUCAAGGUAUCACACCUUGGCACAUUUAGUGUUUCCACACCAUCGGCUCCACGAGCCUACCUCUAUGACACUUCUUCUUUGUGUCUAAGUCUUUGCCAAGACUAAUACCACUCUUUCUCAUGCCAACCAUCUGUUAGCACUGCAUCAUAGAGGUCACACACAACUUUGUGUCAAAGUUGUUUUCUUUUUGGGAACACCUUUCCCACGACUUUGGCAUGGCACAUUUUGCCAUCGAUGAGAUACCCUCUGUUCUCAUCCUUGGAUCCUAUGAUCCCCCCCCCAUCCUUUGUGGGGUACAACACACCUCAGUCCAAAUGCUUCCAUCAGUCCAAAUUGUACACGACUAAUUUUUCCAUUCUACUUUAGUCACUUAACCACACCUCCGACCACUUGGAGGAGUCUCAUUCACAACCUCCAUCAGUCCAAUUCAGGACUUGGGACUUGCUAGCCCCGAGAAUGGCAUCCAUGCCACUCAACAUUUGCACUUGGUCCAAGUGCUCCACGUGUCCGAUCCCAUGACCGACACUCAAAGGUACUACCGACAUGGCAGCUUGUUAUGCUAAGGCCAUGCCCAAUCACCUUUGCCACACUGGUAGUCCAAUACCACUUGCAUCACAGUCUUGGCUCUCCAAGACUAGGCAAACCAUCCGUGAGUGGUCAUCUCAGAUCCACUCCUUAGCAUCCUUAGGAUGCCCACCGACAAGGGGAAUAGCCUUCCCCAAUAUCCCUCUGUCAGUCCCCACUAAGUCCCUUUUUGCCCUUGGCCGUGUUUGCCAACACUGCCACUGGAUCGAGGCCCACAGGCCCGACCACUAAGUCCCACGGUCCUCUGGGACUUCCUCACCGCACGACUGUGUCCUUGGUCACUGCCCCAGAGGACUGCUCCUCUUCCUUUCCACAGUCUGGGCCUUUGGGAUAACAUUUCGGAACACUGUGGCCUUACGCGAGCCACCUGGGUACUCUCCCCGCCUUCCGCCCUUGGGUGCUCUAGCCAUGGGCUUAGAGUGAGGUUCCGUUGAGCCACGCCUGGUAUCCGAGUAGGUAGUGCCACCCACACUUGGACUAGGAGCAUCGGCCNNNNNNNNNNNNNNNNNNNNNNNNNNNNNNNNNNNNNNNNNNNNNNNNNNNNNNNNNNNNNNNNNNNNNNNNNNNNNNNNNNNNNNNNNNNNNNNNNNNNCGUGUUCACUCUAGUCUUGGACUUCCCAGUGGUCAGCUCAUCACCCAACACUGGGUCUGGCCUUCCUGGGCCAAACUGGCCUUUCCUGGCCAAACUGGCUCCACUGGGCUCCAACCCCCACACUCUCCCGGACUCGGUCUCGGUCUCGGUCUCGGUCUCGGUCUCGGUCUCUGUCUCGGUCUCGGUCCCGGUCCCGGUCUCGGUUCCAUCUCAGACUCCAUCUCGGACUCCACCUCGGGUCCAUCUCGAACUCCACCUCGGGUCCAUCUCGGACUCCAUCUCGGGUCCAUCUCGGACUCCAUUUCAAGUCCAUCUCGGACUCCAUCUUGGGUCCAUCUCAGACUCCAUCUCGGGUCCAUCUCGGACUCCAUCUCGGUCCAUCUCGGACUCCAUCUCGGACUCCAUCUUGGACUCCAUAUCGGACUCCAUCUCGGACUCCAUAUCGGACUCCAUCUCGGACUCCAUCUCGGACUCCAUAUCGGACUCCAUUUUGGACUCCAUCUCGGACUCCGUAUCGGACUCCAUUUCGGGUCCAUCUCAGACUCCAUCUCGGACUCCAUAUCGGACUUCACUUCGGGUCCAUCUCGGACUCCAUAUCGGACUUCACUUCGGGUCCAUCUCGAACUCCAUCUCGGACUCCAUAUCGGACUCCACUUCGGGUCCAUCUCUAGAGCCUCGCUUAUGGCUCGCUUCGUGCUCAUUCCUCGAGCACUUUGUUGGGAGUUCCACUCCUGCUCUCGACCUUUCAAGUCGGAGCUUUUAGUCCAAAUGUGUUACACUCGUUUGGCUUUCGCUUCGGCCACUACCACGUGGCGCCCUUCCAGCUCCACUUUGGGGCCUAUGGAUUUUGUGUCUCACAACACCCUCGCUAUCAUGCCCUUUGUGUUAGUCUCAUUCGGUCUUAAAUGCUAUUUAUGAAAAGUGUCUAGAUUUGCUCAUUUGACAUAUUUACGGAAUGUAGAGAUUGUGCUGAACACCAUGGUGUUCGUCUCGUGUCCAAAUUCACAAUCUAGCACCAUUCCAUAUUUAGUAAGUUUCAAGCUUGUCCCAGAGACUAACUCCUGAUACAAAGGGAGGCUUGGGGUGAAAGCCCAAAGCGUGUGUUCCUCAAGGGGGGGGGGGGGGGGGGGGGGCUAUGAGGGGUUCCAAAAGUAUAGUAGGGAUAGUGGGUAGGUUGGGCAUGGCUGACCAAUCUGAGGCAUAGUUUAGCUCCUGCUUGUGUGCCUGUCCUUGUUUUACGUCCGGCUUAGGUCUUAGCCCAAGUUCCAUACCAUGCUAGUUGGUGGGGUACCCAUAUCCUCACGUUAGGCCACCGGUAUGCCGAAAUAGCGCCAGACUCCAUUUGGCUCCAUUUUGCGUGCUAGUCCUAGCAUUGGGAUGCUAGAUACUCUAGGACUGUUCCAAGUCGCUUCGUGCCCCUGUCCCUUCGCUCCUUGGGCUGCAUGCUCGGGAGUUGCUCCGUGGUUCAGUUCCAUCACUCCUUGGCUCCAUGCUUGGGAGUUUUUCACUGUUCCUUCGUUCAGUGGCCCAAGGCCCUGAACCUCGGGUUCCACACCACUGUCCUAUGGACACGUGGCAUGUGACAUGUGGCAUAUGUCACGUGGCAUAAAGUGGGUUUAGGUUCCGCUUCGUGGUGUUAUCCUAUGGUAAAUCACCAUAGGAUAAAGGGUAAAAACCACAUGCGCUACAGCGUUGCUGAAGUCAUCAACGUCAUCUUUCAUUUGGUCUUCGGAUUGUGAGCCGGUGUUCAGGGAUCUCAAAGAGUUAUUGACAACUCCUCCGGUUUUGGCAUAUCCUGACUACACUCGACCUUUUAUUUUGCGCAUGGAUGCUUCUGACAUUGGUCUUAGAGGUGUGUUAAUGCAAGAGAGCUCGAGUGUGCCUGGUCAGCGCCAUCCCAUUGCAUAUAUAAGCUGUACAUUACAACCAGUGGAGAGGAACUACUCCACGACAGAGAAGGAGUGUUUAGCAGCAGUCUGGGGUUUCGAGAAACUUCAUGCAUAUCUAUAUGGUUCUCGGACGUUACUUGAAGGUGACCAUGUUGCUGUUACUUCGUUAUUGAAGCGGAAGAACCUAGUUGGUCGUACUACUCGGUGGGCUUUGAAACUUCAGAUAUAUGAUUUUGAUGUUGUUCAUUGCCCAGGGAGUUCUAUGGCUAAUGCUGAUGCCCUUUCUCGAGCUCCUCUUCCUUCUCCACUCUCUUCUCAUGUUUUUGACAAGCCUGUUGUUCCAGCAUCUGUGGAUUUUCUAGACGAGGAUUCUGUGCUAUCAGCAGUUGCUAUACUUGACGUUCAGUGUCCACAAGGUGCAUAGCAAAAUCUACCUUCACUUGAUGAGGUUCGCGAGGCUCAAAAGCUUGAGCCGUGGAUUCGAAGGCUUCGAGAUGGGUUUGAGAAUCCUGCAUCACUUGCUGAUGACUUGCCUUUCCGACAUUUACAUUCUCAAUAUCGCCUUGAAGAUGCCCUUCUUUGUUUUGUGGGGACGGAUCCUGAUGAUCAUUUACGGCCGGUGGUGCCUUCUAUCUUUAUUCCAUAGUUUUUCCAUGCUUACCAUGAUUCUCCUAUUCUAGGUGGGCAUAUGGGACAUCAUCAUGUAAUCGAGAAGCUGCGUAGGUCUUUCUAUUGGGCGGAGAUGCGAUGUGAUAUUAUCCGGUACGUGCGUAACUGCGUUUGGUGCCAAGCUCGUAAUACUCCCCCUCGGGCUGCAGAAGGACGGUUGGAGUCAAUUGCAGUUUCCCGUCCGUUUGAGUUGGUGGCGUUUGAUCUUAUGGGACCUUUUCCACGGUCGACUGCUAGCAAUGAGUAUGUUAUUAUUGUUUUUGACUAUUUGACUUGUUGGGUGGAAGUUGGUGCUCUUGCUAGCACCUCUGCAAUUGCUGUUGGAUACUUCCUCCUCAAUCGAGUGGUGUUCCAGCAUUCUUGUCCAGAGUGGAUUCUUUCGGAUAAUGGUCCCACAUUUAUGGCUGAGGCAUUUCAUGUUUUGACGUCUCAGUUGGGGAUACGCCACACUUUCACGAGUGCUUAUCAUCCACAAUCAGACAGUCUGGUGGAACAGCUCGUUCGGACAUUCAAGGGGAUGAUUGUGAAGUAUAUGAACUUUCAGCAUUUAGAUUGGGAUGGUUAUUUGCCAUCUCUUCGGUAUGCAUAUGUCACUAGGGUGCAGAGUUCUAUUGGUGCUUCACCAUAUAAACUCCUAUAUGGUCAUGAUCCAAUAUUACCAACAAAGCUGGGUUUACCUUCUCGAUUGCCACAAGCUGCGGAUGCUAGGUCAUGGGAUUAGUAUUUGACGAGCAUUCUUCCACUUGUCCGAGCGGAGUCUGCCGAACACUUAGGCCGCGUACAAGUGGGACAACAACGGCGGUACAACUCCCAUCAUCGUCCACCUGCGAAGUACAAAGUGGAUGAUUUGGUGUUAGUCCGUUUUCCCCAUCUUACGGUACGUGGUUUAUCUAAGGGGCUCCUUGCACAGAGGAUCAGCCUGCUGGACGUCAUGCCGAACCGCAUAAACUUAUGGUCCAACUUGUCGCAACACCCAAUACGGUCCUUUCCACUAUUGUGCAUAUGCAGCGGUUAAAAUGCUUCAUACAAAGGGAUCAAGAGCAGUUAAUACCAUCUACAGAUCCGCCGAUGCCUCCUUCUGACGUUCCUCCAGAUCCUAGCCCGUCUACAAAAGAACCUUGAUGGUCUUCCAUUAUUCCAAGAGGAGGGGAUGAUGUGAGGGCCAAGUGUACAACUACAAUGCUGUAUACUAAUAUUAGCAUAGUGGGAUUUUAGUAGCCGUCAGAUUGGUUUCAAUCCGGACCACUCGCUCUGUAUAUAAGCUAAGGUUUUUGGGCUAAUUGAUAUGCACAUUUCUGUAUUCCCUUUUCCAUAUUCCAUGCAUUCACAAUGUAUGCUUACAUCAAUUUUUUAACCACCGAAGCUCUAGUCUAGGGAAAGGAAAACAAGUGCAAGAAGUACUUGAUAAGUGUAGUGCACCUUAUCUCUCUCCCCUUAAGCCAACUGGAAAAGGGGCAAUUGCUUGAUGAAAGAGCCCUUAGUGGCUAUUUUAUCCCCAUUUAUCCCCCAAGAUUCCAAGGAUCCACGGUGACAGUAUAUCCAAAUUUCAUCCCAUGAUCACAUGCGCUAAAAUAAGCUACUAUCACAAACCCUUGGUGUGAUCUUGAACUCCUCCGGUUCAUCUUGAGAUGCAGCUGGUUCUUCGAUUUUGCUGGUUGGGGUUUGUGGGCACAAAAGGAUUCAGUUUGCAUGGAUUUUUCCAUAGUUUGGCAUCUUUCGACCGUAGUAAUCUUCGAUACAUGAGUCCACAGCCCUUAUGGUUUCUUCUCGAAAUGCAUCUCUGCAUGGUGUUUUGGCAAUCAGUAUUCGGUCGGAGCAUGGUAUGUACAUACAGCACGGCUGAACUAGCAUUGUACUUUGUUUUUGGAGAACUCACAUCAACAAUCAAUGAUCUCAGCAUGAUCGCUCUCAUUCCUCACAACACCCCCAACAUGUGCGAUGUAGAUAAAGAAAUGCCGUUGCCGGUCCAAAGAGACAAAAGACGGAACCCUUGUUGAAUUUGCGAUCUUGAAGCAUGUUGCCCUAGAAACUGAUCUGAAGCCACAGUGAAAAGACUGGUGAAUCGUAAAGCCAUCUCCUGAUGCAGGUUACCCUAGACACUGGGAAUCCAGUGCUAGAGCCGAAAGGAUGUCCGCUCGCUGCAAGAUCUGCCACGGAAUUCCCCAAAAGAACAAUGAAACCCUUGCUGUGAAUCUUGAAGCCAUCUCCUGAUGCAUGUUACCUUAGACACUGGGAAUCGCAAGCCAUGACGGUCUUCCCCUUCAGAGGCCACUGGGAAUUAUGAAGCUGUCCUGUUUCGUUCCCAACGUUUUGUGUUGCGUUGGUCUCUGAAUCAUUAGUAUAAAAGUUGCCUCUCCAACCUGACGUUGAUAAAAAACCACAUUCUCACAAUUUUGCUCCGUCUACAUAUCCACGCUAGUACUAUCAUCCUCGUGCAGCUUCCAAAUAUCGCCGAUAGUUCUAUCAUUAAUAUUCUUCACAUCUCGAAAGACCAUGCAAUGGUCCCUACUUAAAGGCAUCCCGGGCUUCUGUAGCAACUACAAUUUGUUGAUGCUCCUCAUAAACCUGUGCGGCACUGAAGCCUCUCCGAAGACGCUCUUCAACCCACUUGAUCUUCUGCUUUGAUAGUCGUGGAGCUACAGUGGCAGAGAUAGGAGCUGUAACAUCUUCUGGCCCGUGACAUAUCCUUCCUUGAGCAUCAUCGUGUUCCAUACAAUAAUACAUAAUCUUUGCCAUUUGAAGACACAACACAAACAUUUUGAUGGAGAAGUUACACAUGCAUCCUCACUUGUUUGUUUCCCCACAUUGCACUUUCCUCUUCCUACUUCCAGGACCCUGUUUUGGUUUUUCCGACGAGGUGGGUUCCCACUCAUUCCCCCGAUGAUCAUCAGGCCCAAAGCCACACCAGUACUUCUAUUCUGCAAUGCUGUAUUAGGAGGGGUUAGGGUUUAGGAAUUACGAGGCGAGCUGUGUCACAAAGAGAGGCAAGUGCUCCCAUUCAAUAUCAGGAGCUAGAUUAAAGAACAACCACUCUAGAUUUGGAAGACUGGCAGCCAAAUCAUCCUUGAAUUCUGACUGUCCAAUGUGUAAAUUAGUAAGACCCAGAUCUCUAAGAAGUGUGAAUGAUCCAUCCAGGUUGAACAAGUGGAUACCACCGCAGUCAAUGUCAAGUGUUUCUAGGCGGUGGGGCAACCAUUCAAAGCUGUCAUCACUAUUUUCACUGUCUUCUACCGAUGUAAAACUGUUGAAGCCUGAUUGAGUUCUUAAACAUUCGCUUCAAGGGAGCUCUGCUGACGGACUCCACAUCAAUUUCACAUGUUGUUAGGUUGAUAAGUUGCCAUCGUCCAACGACACUGGCAAAUGCGAUGCUGUCUGCCCAUAAAACCAAUGUUUCAAUGCUCCAGUGUCCCCAUGCUUUCUGGCACCUUCAUUGUACCCUGUGUCAUUUCUAGAUUUAAAUGUCUUAGUUUACGUGAAAUUCCAGUCAAAUCCAAAACUGAUGAGUCCUCUUUUGAACUAACAUUCAGCCCCAGCUCUUCCAAGUCGGAGAGCUGGGGCAGUAAUGCAAUGUUACACUUCAUCGGCAUCCACCGGGUAGUACAUUUUAGAUAUUUCAGUGAUGUCAGGCUGAAAAGCGCAUCUGGUAAUUCACUCACUUCUGUUCCUUGAAUGUCAAGCACUUGAAGGUUUUUCAGCUUGGAUAUGCUCUCUGGAAUAAAACGCAUCUUAGAGCAUCGCCACAAGCUCAAUACCUUGACACCUUGUAUGUGAUUGAUGAAACUGUCAUCCACAUUAGAAAGUCCUUCACAUUUAUCCAGAAGUAAGACAUCACGCACAUGAUUAUCGGAUAGAAAGCUGCCAACAUUCUUUGAGAUGAAUGAAACUUCAGCAAAUGUUGCAUCCCGAAUGCCAAUUGUCCAGUCAUAUCCGAACAGGCAUCCCUUCUCGUGCUCUUGCUGUGAACCGUACUUCCCUUUUAAGAUUCUUAUGCACAGUUUGCGUAGCAUAUCGUGUACAAUUAUACGAUCAUCGUCAUCCCAAGACUUAUUUAUCUUGACCAGGCAUCUCCGUUCCAGUUCAUUGACAAUCGCUGUGGGUGAGAGUUCUGACCCAACCUCCAUCCAACAUUUCCUCAAGUCAGUGAACUCAAUCUCCUCGUCUUCUGGGAAUGCGGCCACAUAAAGAAACCACUCUUGCAAGCUUUUCACCCUCAUAGUUUCCCAGCUCGUCAUAGCUGAACUUCAAGCGCUUGAACAUCUGCUUCUCAACGUCUGGGUCAUUGGACAAGUGCAACCUCUUAUAUCAUUCUUCCCACACAAGUGGCCCUUCUCUUCUGUGGACAGCCAUGGCACUGCCAAUCACUUCCAGGGCUAGAGGAAGUCCCUCACAUUUUUGAGCUAUUUCCUUGGCAAAUCCCACAACAUCAGGGUCACUGGGUUGUGGAUCAUGCACACCGAAGGCAAACUUCCAAAACAUCUUUUUGCUUUCGUCCAUUGAUAGCUGAUGCACAGGAAAUGCCUUUGCAUCCAGGCUGCGCAAAAUGCCUUCCUUUCUGGUUGUCACCAGGAUCCGGCCAGAGGAUGGCUGUGCUAUAAAAUCCAGUUCCUUUGCCCAGCUCCAGUCCCAGACAUCAUCCAGUACCAGCAAGACACGGUUACCAGCAGCAACAUCGUGUGCCAAGUGCUUCAUGUCGUCAAGGGUUCCUCUGGCCCUCUCUUUCAUUUCACCCCAUUCAAGAGCGUUGAGGAGCUGGGCCUUGAGAUCGUCCUCCGAAGCAUCUUUCUUCCAUAGUUGCAGCUAGACAUGCAAAUGUUCCAACAGGUCGACGUUUAAACGCCGUUUAAAACGUUUUUUUCAGGACAAUCCAACAUUUACAUGUUAAAGCCUAAAAUGAUUAAGAAAACACUAAUAUUUACUAAAGACACUUUAAUCUGAUAUUAAGUUUAUAAAACCUAACCAAAUAACAUACUAAAACAAAUGAAAGAACAAGUUUUAGUCGUCUUCCGAUUUGGUUCCUCAAAAUCUUCUUGCAGAUCCAAAAUCCUCUUCCAAUGAGGCUCCAACUCCAGCUUGUCUAUAUCAAUCUCCAACAUCCUCAAACCUUCACUCUCCAGCUUUUGAGCAACCCGCAAGUUUGUGUGAAUGUAAACCAGCUUCUCAACAUUUGUGGGAAGCAAGUGGGACCUAUGCUUUGUUUGUAUCAAGCUCCAUGAGCUCUAAUUCCUCUCGCAUGGAAAAGCACAAACAACUUGGCUUAAAAUCCGGAGAGCCAUGCGACGUAGAUCAGGCAUCUCUAAACCAAAAGAACUCCACCAGGUUACUGGAAACUUUCUAGUCUCCCGAUCUUUGGCAACAGGUAACCUUAUUUGCCGUCCAAGUUGUUGCCGAAACCUCUCAAACUGUGCCUGCAAUCUCAGCUACAAGUCCAGAUCACCUCCACUAUAAACAUGCAUGUACUCCAGCCAGUUCCCGCGUGCCUCAUUGUCCAGCUUGUCGUUCUCCGGGUUAUCCCCCAGAAACAGAGGAUGAAGAGCAAAAGCAGCUCCAUGAAUGACGUUGUGCAUUUGAUACCACCUUGCCUCCUUUAGACCAUGUGAUUCAAGUAGGAAAUCCUUGAUUUGUCCCACUUCCUCAUGUGCAUAAAUUCCGUUUCGAGCUCCCUCAUCCAUCUUCUCAAUCAGCCGAUCAACAGCUUCAAAGAUGAGGCUUGAAGUCGCCCCCUCCCGAUCAGCGAGCCGAAGAACUCAAAGUAAAGGUCCGAGCAAAAUUAACAAAUUCUCGCACCGCUCCCAGAACGAGUCAUCGAGAACACGAGAUCGCAACUCCAGGCCCUCCGGCUUUUUAGACCAGUCAAGUCGCUCCCAUUCUUGGCUCACCACCAUUCUUCGAAGCCCAGAGAGAUUCGUGGUCUCCAGAAGCUGAGACAUCACGAGAAAUAUAAGCAAACCUCGUGGUCACAAGCUUUAUCAGAUCCUGUUUGCAGAAAGUUCUAUAAAGAGUUAGAACCCGUGGCUUUGAGGUGAUGAAGGAGUUGUCUUCGCACAGCCAUCGACCAAAGGCUGCACCCAAGACAGAGCUCCAAUAUCUUCGAACAGCAAGUCCAUAAUGUGGCAAAUGCAGCGAACGUGUACAAUCUGUGGAAACUCCUGCUGCAAAAGCUCCCCCAUGACCACGCAGUUGCUUGCAUUGUCCGUCACCACCUGCACAACGUUUUCCGUGCCAACCUCGGCAAUCACUUGUUUCAGCUGCUCAAACAACCAUGCUCUAGUUUUUUUCGCGUUCUUGCUGUCCACAGCCUUCAGGAAAAUUGAGCCUCUCACAGAACUGACCAUGAAGUUGAUAAAAGACCGCUUCUUGAUAUCAGACCAGCCAUUCGUGACAAUGGUACAACCAUAUGUCCUCCAACUUAGCCGCACAUCUUCAAGCCACUUCUGAACGUUGUUGUAGAUUUGUUGUAGCUCAGUUGUCCGCAACUUCUCAUAUCCCAUGAGGUUGUCAAUCAUUGGACGCCCCACUUUUGCGGCAACUUUCAGCAUUCUCUNNNNNNNNNNNNNNNNNNNNNNNNNNNNNNNNNNNNNNNNNNNNNNNNNNNNNNNNNNNNNNNNNNNNNNNNNNNNNNNNNNNNNNNNNNNNNNNNNNNNUGCCGAUGAUGGGCAUCUGCUGCUUCAAGCCGCACAGGGUUCAGGGGGCCCAGCAGAAUCUAUGGUGGCAAGCACAGAGAACUGGUCCAGUGCUGGGACAAGCAGAGCAGCAAAAUGCAGAUCCUCUGAUGGAAAUUUGGUGACAUUUUUUGAUACUGCUUCGGCUGAGGCACUGGAUGAUGCUGUUGCAGAGUUCUUCUUUGCCGAGAACAUCUCCUUCAACACAAUCCAAAGAGACAACUUGAAGAGAAUGCUGAAAGUUGCCGCAAAAGUGGGGCGUCCAGCGAUUGACAACCUCAUGGGAUAUGAGAAGUUGCGGACAACUGAGCUACAGCGAAUCUACAACAACGUUCAGAAGUGGCUUGAAGAUGUGCGGCUAAGUUGGAGGACAUAUGGUUGUACCAUUGUCACGGAUGGCUGGUCUGAUAUCAAGAAGCGGUCUUUUAUCAACUUCAUGGUCAGUUCUGUGAGAGGCUCAAUUUUCCUGAAGGUUGUGGACAGCAAGAACACGAAAAAAACCGGAGCAUGGUUGUUUGAGCAGCUGAAACAAGUGAUUGCUGAGGUUGGCACGGAAAACGUUGUGCAGGUGGUGAUGAAACAAGUGAUUGCUGAGGUUGGCACGGAAAACGUUGUGCAGGUGGUGAUGGACAAUGCAAGCAACUGUGUGGUCAUGGGGGAGCUUUUGCAGCAGGAGUUUCCACAGAUUGUACACGUUCACUGCGUUUGCCACAUUAUGGACUUGCUGUUCGAAGAUAUUGGAGCUCUGUCUUGGGUGCAGCCUUUCGUCGAUGGCUGUGCGAAGACAGUUACCUUCAUCACCUCAAAACCAUGGGUUCUAACUCUUUAUAGAACUUUCUGCAAACGCGACCUGAUAAAGCCUGUGACCACGAGGUUUGCUUAUAUUUUUCUCGUGAUGUCUCAGCUUCUGGAGACCACGAAUCUCUCUGGGCUUCGAAGAAUGGUGGUGAGCCAAGAAUGAGAGCGACUUGACUGGUCUAAGAAACCGGAGGGCCUGGAGCUGCAAUCUCGUGUUCUCAAUGACUCGUUCUGGGAGCGGUGCGAGAAUUUGUUAAUUUUGCUCGGACCUUUACUUCGAGUUCUUCAGCUCGCUGAUCGGGAGGGGGCGACUUCAAGCCUCAUCUUUGAAGCUGUUGAUCGGCUGAUCGAGACGAUGGAUGAGGGAGCUCGAAACGGAAUUUAUGCACAUGAGGAAGUGGGACAAAUCAAGGAUUUCCUACUUGAAUCACAUGGUCUGAAGGAGGCAAGGUGGUAUCAAAUGCACAACAUCAUUCAUGGAGCUGCUUUUGCUCUUCAUCCUCUGUUUCUGGGGGAUAACCCGGAGAACAACAAGCUGGACAAUGAGGCACGCGGGAACUGGCUGGAGUACAUGCAUGUUUAUAGUGGAGGUGAUCUGGACUUGCAGUUGAGAUUGCAGGCACAGUUUGAGAGGUUUCGGCACAGCUUGGACAGCAAAUAAGGUUACCUGUUGCCAAAGAUCGGGAGACUAGAAAGUUUCUAGUAACCUGGUGGAGUUCUUUUGGUUUAGAGAUGCCUAAUCUAUGUCGCAUGGCUCUCCGGAUUUUAAGCCAAGUUGUUUGCGCUUUUCCAUGCAAGAGGAAUUAGAGCUCAUGGAGCUUGAUACAAACAAAGCAUAGGUCCCACUUGCUUCCCACAAAUGCUGAGAAGCUGGUUUACAUUCACACAAACUUGCGGGUUGCUCAAAAGCUGGAGAGUGAAGGUUUGAGGAUGCUAGAGAUUGAUAUAGACAAGCUAGAGUUGGAGCCUCAUUGGAAGAGGAUUUUGGAUUUACAAGAAGCUUUUGAGGAACCAAAUCAAGCUGUUGAGGAGUUUAGUAUUGAUAUAGGAUGGAAGAUGAUUCGGAAUCGGAAGACGACUAAAAUGGCUUCUUCUUUCAUUUGUUUUAGUAUUUUAUUUGGUUAGGUUUUAUAAACUUAAUAUCAGAUUAAAGUGUCUUCAGUAAAUAUUAGUGUUUUCUUAAUCAUUUUAGGCUUUAACAUGUAAAUGUUGGAUUGUCCUGAAAAAAACGUUUUAAACGGCAUUUAAACGUCAACACAUUUUAACGUUAGCUGCAACUAUGCUAGUGAUUGAUCGAUCGCCUGGAAAUACUUCUUCCACUGAUCCGGUCCCGCAAGAAGAUCACGAUUUCAUAGCUCGGCAUCCGACAUGGCUGCCUCCGAUUCACGGCUUGAGCAAAGCAGUGCCGGAUUGUGACCGAGCAGCGUCAUCGUCUUUGUCUGCCACAUUGAUUGCCGCACUGGAUCAACUGGCCCGAGCGAUUCCCGAUUCCCGGGCAACCAAGAACUGGAAGAGGGCUUACACUGCAAUCAAGAGGCUCAUGGUAACUUUACUUCCUUCAACUUUGGAGAGUUCUUAUGUUCUGUUUCUAGAAUAUAAGAAGAACGACGAGGCAGAGUGCUGUCGGGACUGGAGCUUGGAAUUUGGAGCCUCUACAGCCCGUCACGCUUAUACAUUUCGGGCUUCUCUACAAUCAGUACGUGGAUAGAAGUUUACCAUCCUUCCUGCUAUGGUGGCAGGAGAGCCGAGUAUAUUCUUGUGUUUCUCAUAUGCUCCCAUAUGGCAGUGCUUGUCUUUGAAGCAAUGGCGGGGUCUAGGCAUGAACGAUGGACACAUGUGUGGAGUUUCAACAUUGAUUGCCUGGACGGGCUCAUCACAGCGCUUUAUACGUAAUCGUUGUUUCCCUCUUCGAGGUUUCCCCUCACACUUGUGUUUGUAGGAUUGAAAUGGUGUUACGAAUUUUGGCUCUUGGUUUUAUCAGAGGUCGUCACUGCUACAUGCGGAAUCCAUACAAUAGGCUCGACUUUGUCAUUGUUUUCGAUUCCUGAUAAUGUUGAGGUUUUGUAUUUGAUGGUCGUAAGUGUUUCACCAGCUCUUUGGGAGGUGCAUAACUGCACAUGAUUUUUUCGCGUGGAUAGCCGUGUUCCGCGUGUUUCGGCUAGCGUUGAAGCACGUCACAUUUUUUGCCGAUGUCAUAGUAUGGUUUGUAAAUUUCUGAUUUGUGCAUUGUUAACACUUUACAAUAGACCAUCAUGGCGGCCGUGAAAAAGAGCAUUGGUCCUCUCCAAAACGUUAUCCUUUUGACGUUCUUUCUGUUGGUUUUCUAUUCUCUACUCGGCACACAGAUCUUGCAAAACUCGAUGAAUCAAAGGUAAUCUCGAUAGUUCUUAUCACGUGAUAUCAAAAUCCUCCUGGGCAGGUGCUUUCGAAUAGCGGAGCAACUUGCUUAUCCCAUGCGCUUUUGUGACGAAAAAGCUGCUGGCUGCUACGUACGUCCACCAUUUCAGAACUGUAUGAUGUGUUUUUUCUAUAAGCUCAUUCCUUAUCCAUCUCUUUGUUUGUAGACACACUAGAAUCCCAACCAUGGAGCGACAGCUUUUGAUUAUCUCUGGUAUUCGCUGCUUACCAUGUUUCAGGUUUGUGUCACUUCAUAGCAUCUUAUCGCCUUAGCACACUUCAAAGUGGUCACUCUGCAGGUGAUAACUUUGGAAGGAUGGAGCCUCGUCAUGCAUGAUGUGAAGGAUGCUGAAGGGGAGCGAGCCAGUAAGGCGUUGACAUUGUUUCUUUUAUUGCUUACACAAGCCAUUGCACCACAGAUUCGUACUUUAUGACGUUAAUUGUUCUGGGUACAUAUUUCCUGGCGGACGUUUUCAUCGCCGGUAUCAGUGGUGUAUUUCUUCGUGUUCGAUCAGAGCAUCAGGUGCACACUUGUUUACUGAUUUCCCAUCACCCCCUGUCCCUAGCAUGGAGUUCACAUAUCAACGCUUGACAUCACCAAAUGAUCAGGCUUAAGUUAAGCUGUUAUUAUCCAGGCUUUGCUGAGGAAAGCCCAUAGAACCUCGGUAAGUGCUGAAAGACAAUAUCGUCAAAGCCGACUCGCACAUGCCAUGGUAUAACCGCUUACUCAACAGGUCAAGAAAGGUGUAGCAGAAUGUCGCGAGAGCCUUAAGUCGGACACGGACCUCCCUGCGGACUGCCCUUCAAGCCAGAUCAAUGAGAGUGCGGUCCAGUAGGUCUUUCAGUCGAAGUAUGACGAUAGGAGUUCAAGCAGCGUUGACAGUUUCCGGAAAAGGCCGCGACAUCGUUGAACAUCCCAAGUUUGAGUGGGGAGUACUUCUCAGUGUCACCAUUAACGUCGUGCUCUUAUCGUCCUUCUGGGAUGUCAAAACGGUUGUUGCAUACGCUCAGUAUUCAUUUCACGACUUCCUUUCUAUUCGUUCAGCAUGAUAAAUUUUGUAUGCAGACGGGUUGCAAGCAGUAAUGCUUUUUGCUUUCAGCGGGGAACUUCUGCUGCGCUUUCUAGCAUAUGGUCCUGGCGAUUUUCUUGACGAUGGUGAGUUCUUUGUUCAUGUUGUCUUCUGGUCUGAUCCCGAAAUUUUCAGGAAUGAAUUUGCUGAACUUGAUAGUUGUUUUCACAUCUAUUGUGGCACUCAGUUCUCAUUCGUUUCCAAAUUUAACAUCAAUAAAAAUUAUGCGGUGGUUUUACUCUUCGAAGAAGUAUUUUGCAAAAAUGGGGGUCUUACUGGAUCCGCUUUAGAGGCCCCACCAUCGGUCGUUCCAGCUGCAGAGUCUUCUGAAGCACCGCUGUCGCGUCACAGGCGUUCUUCCCAAGUUUUACAGGUUUCUGGUUUUCCGUCUAAUAUCGGUGAAAGGAGGGGUUCAAGAACCGCACUUCAAGAUGCCGUGAUAACUCUGGACGAGAUUCUCAGCAGUCCAAAAAUUGUCCCCGAUUUCAUCUGGAGUCUGCAGAAGAUCAACUUUGUGGUGAGCACAUGCUUAUCUUAUUUUGCUCGACAUUGUACAUUGUUUUGGAGCAGGUCUUUUUGCUAGACUGUUUGAUGAAGAUCGUUGCACAGGGACUUAUUUUGCGCCAGACGCAUACCUGAGUGACUGGUACAACAUCUUGGACUUGUUUAUUCUCGUCACCGAUGCGCUUAUUCUUCUGAAGUAUAACGCUGAGGAUGAAACUUCCAUACCAACCGUCGGUGCGUUUACUUCUCUUC
rnacentral:lncRNA from 1 species